rnacentral:lncRNA from 1 species
CCUAUUUUUUAGAUUACAACUAGAACUAACUAGAACUAGAACUAGAACUAGAUGAACUAGAACUAGAACUAGAUGAACUAGAGGUAGAACUAGAAGAACUAGGGCCUUGUUUAGUUCCAAAAAAUUUUGCAAAAUCGACACUAUAGCACUUUCGUUUGUAUUUGACAAAUAUUGUCCAAUCAUGGACUAACUAGGCUCAAAAGAUUCGUCUCGUCAAUUCCGACCAAACUGUGCAAUUAGUUUUUAUUUUCAUCUAUAUUUAAUACUCCAUGCAUGCGUCUAAAGAUUCGAUGUGAUGGGGAAUCUGAAAAAUUUUGCAAAAUUUUUUGGGAAGUAAACAAGGCCUAGAGGGAUCCUCUCUACUUGGAUGAAGAAUUGAAACACUAGCUUUGAUUGUGUAGAAGAGGUAUGAUCUCCAGGGGCCAGGGGACCUUGCUUAUAUAGUCUUUUCAGAUAAAUCUGGGCCGUCGGAUCAAACCGAUAUUGAUCGCACAGUUUUCCUAGGUCCUUUAGGUCGGUGGAGCAUAAUACGCGAAACGUGUCCUGAUUGGACUCUGGAAGUGGGCGGGCGCCUAGGAGACUAGGGCGGGCGCCCUGUCCCUGAGCCCUCUCGGAUUCCUGUUCGUUCCCGUGGCUUCUGAAGUCUUAUAGAUGAUAGAAAAUUGCUCGGCACGUUAAUAUCUCUAUGUAAACCCGACGUGUGGGCCUUUCCUCCGUAUUUCGUGAUAACCCCCUACAGAAAUAGGCAAACACCAAAACUCGUGGAAUUAUGUCAGAUAAAACCCUAAGUGUAGGUGUUGGUUCCAUUUAGAUCCUUUUCCAUGAUUAGUUGACGGUUAAAUGUGAGCAUUAAGGACCGUCAACAAGCUCCCCCAAGCUUAACCUUUGCUCGUCCCUGGGCAAAGAUGAACUUAAGAGUUUCUACAGUGGUUUCAUGCCUUAGAGAUACACAUGCGUUCAAACAAGAUCUCAUCUCUGGGUUAGGGUAAACUGUUAAGAUUUAAACUUACUCAUUUUACCUUCCACCAUGGGGCUUGGAACCGUCACCUUUGUCUUGAGUAGUUAAAAGAUAGAACGGUCUAGUCAAGCGCCAUGUCUCUUGUUCUUCGAUUAACUAUAGCUCUGGAGUUUUUCCAGAUUUUCAAAUAAAACUCAGAGAUUCCUUGUAUGACUCUCUCUAGUCUCUCUUUUGUGGUAUUUCUGGAUCCUUACCAAGGCAGUAAUGGUGUAUGCCUUCUCUCAAAGUAUGUGGUAUUUUUGGUAUGAGGCAUAGUGGCAUUGCCUUCUCUCUCACCCUACUCUAAUAAGGUUUUUAUAUCUAGAGCUCAUAGGUGGGAGACAGCUAAUACAUACUUACAAGACACUUAUUGCAUAGUCAAACCAUGGAUCCAGAAGAACAAGUCAAUAAGUCAAAUCAAGAUGUGCAUGUGUGGCGAAUGAAUGACGUAUGGUGAUGAUGGUGAUAAUGGUGAAAACAAUGGUGAAGUCUAAUUCUACUUUUGCUCUUUUGAGGGAAUACAUACCUUCCUUGCUCUUUUGAAACUUUUGGGGAGAAUAAGAUGCUCUGUAUUUUCUUUUUUCUUUCCUCUCAGGUGGGUAUCUUGUACCCCUAAUUCUACUGUCGGACACUUGUCCAUUUUUACCUCUCGUCUCAUUUUUUUCUUUUCUUUCGAGGUUCCGGGCACUUGCCCCUUUUUAUUUCCUCGUAUCUCUUUUUUUUCUCUCUUUCUUUUUUUAGAGCACUCAUCUCUUGAAAUAAUGUAGCAAGUGGUAGUAACCAAGAUAACUUGAGCAUUUAUUUCACAGGGGAAAACAGAAAUGUUUUUGGCUAUUCUCUCUCGGAUUAGGAGUAGAAUAUUUUUUGGGUGGUUCUCGAGAUGGAAAUGGGUGGAUAUAUGUGGAUGCGUACUUCUGGAGUAGAAGCAGCAUGUAUGAGUGAAUCGUGCAAGUGAAUCUUGAUUUAACCACAUGACAAGCUCCUAAGGGUCUACACAGUUUGACCACACUCAAUGCUCAAAAGUAAAUGUGUGGCUCUAAGUCUAGGAAGCAUGUAUAUAUGGCUGUGGUAGAAAUUUAAACUCUCAUCAUAUAGGAACUCAUCAUGUGAUAUUUUAAAGAUUUUCAAAGAUAAAAUUCUCCAGAAUUCUAGCAUCUCUAGGAACAGAUAAACAACAGCUCAAUCUUCCCAUAUCGUAUCCGUUAACGACGACUUUAGAUCAAGUACUCUCCCCACAAGUUUAGGUUUAGAGCAAAUCUUAAUUAAUACCAGUCAUGCCUAAACUUGAGAGAGAUUUCAAUUUUGAGAACUAGGUACAUGGCAGAGCAACUAUUUAUCAUAUCCAUGUAAGAGUUUAUCAUCUAUAUUCAGUUUGGCCUAGACACUUUAUUUAUUUAUUUAGCAAACUAAGCAAAGAUAUAUAUAUAAGCACAAAAUUUUUAUUUGGGUUUUCAUGAUUAUGCAUCUUUUUAUUAUUUGAGUAAAGUAUAAUCAUGAGUAGAAACACUUAGCUGGAUAAAUGGGGGUGCUCUCCCCCAAGCUGGAUUUUGAUGUAAUUUCUUCUGAUGUAGCUAGCAGGUGACGGAGGUGUAUUUGAAUGUCGGCAGCACCCUAACAGCAAUUAGAAUGUCCUCCGUCUGCUAAUCUUCUUUGAUCCUUGAAUUCUGUGGAGCUCAAAUAGACAACAAAACUUUGUAGAACUAGUUAAGUGUUAGCAUAAAUAUUUAGCCUUUAUCAUGUGGAGCCUCCUCAAUAAAUGUUACACUCUUUAGUAGGAUCAUAAAUUUAUUUUUAUAAUUUUAUUUUUAUAGGACAGGAAUAUAUUUAUUUUAUUUUUACGCCACCACAGUGAAUGUACUUAUGGGUUUUAUGCCAUGAGCAUACUCACAUGGGGCUUACUAUUUUUAACAUUUUUAUUUUAUUUUCAAGAUGAUAUGAACCUGAUUAACUAAGCAAACUAUUUUAAAUAAUUGAAAAGAAAAAAGAUAACUACCAAGUUUACCUCUUGGCAAGGCGUUCGGUGUUUUUAAGUCCUCCGAACGGGACUCUCCGUUUUCUCUAUUGUCAUGGGAUUCGCUGGAUGGUGUAGUCGGUGGUUCCGGCGGCGCCUCUUCUUCGUGUAUAGUUAUCUUCUCUCUCCACACCUGACUCGGUGCUACGGUCUCCUCAGAACAGUUCUGUUCAAGCUAUAUGUCUUCAGACCUUACAACUUCUCCUUCAUAGUCUACCCAUCUGUCCUUGAUGAUUUUGCCUUCUCUGGUUGCGGUUGCGUCGUCUCCUUCUUGUCCUGACCUGCUUAGAGUCUUCAAUUAUAUAGUUAGGGUCAGUAAAAUAGCGGCGUACCUUCUUAGAGGGGAAAUGCAUGUGGACUCCGCCGGUUCCAAUGUAGAUGAUUGCUUUAACGGUGCUGAGGAACAGUCUCCCAAUGGUGAUGAGUGGAUUGUACUCGUCUUCUCCCGUGUCAAUAACCUUAAAAUCAUCUGGAGUUGAAGGUAUGUCGGUUUUAGGGGCAUGGUUCCGAAUAGGAGCUGAUAGGUGACUGGGUCGUCCUUUUUAGUCAGAAAUGGUGACUUAAGGGGGUGUUUGGGACUGCUCCGCUCUAAGUUUUUCAGCUCUGCUCCAUGUUUUUUAGCCAAACGGUUUCAGCUCUACGCACUCAGUUCGAGAAAAAAGGGUGGAGUUGUGAGAGCACCUAAAGAGGUACUCCACAAACUCUAAUUUUUUGUGGAGCUGCUCUAUGGUAGAGUUUAUAGAGCAGAGUUUGUGGAGCAGUCCCAAACACCCCCUAAGUCGACGAUCUUGUCCUCCUUGAACUGCAGUAACCAUCUUAGUUGUUUCGGUCCACAUUUGCUUGUUUAUGUUCCUCGUAUUGGUCCUCUUCCUUGGUUCAUGUCGAGAUUGCUCUGAGAUUUGUGUAGUCUUGUUCUUGAAGGAAAACGUCUCCUUCCUCCCCUCGAUGUAGAAACUGAUCUUGGCAGCAGUAGCGUAGAUGGCAGCUCCCGAGGUGUUCAGGAAUGGCCUCCUUAGGAUGAUGGAUGCCCUCUCAUCAGUACCAGUCUCUAUCACCACGAAGUGUGCUGGGGCGUACAAGGUACCAACUCGGACGCAGAGGUUCUUCAAUACUCCCUUUGGGAAACUUAGUGUACGAUCUGCAAGUUGCAAACACAUGGUUGUUUCUAGUAAAGGAUGUGUAAAGAAUUUUUCAUAUAGUACCCUGGGCAUAAUGUUGACGCUGGAGCCAAAGUCACAGAGUGCUUCUGAGAAGUCCACCAAGCCGAUGGAGAUCGGGAUGACGGGGCGUCUUGGAUCGCCUCUCUUGACCGGCAUAAGGUCAGUAAUUACUUCCACAACGGGGUUACUCCAGUGUGUGUACUCGUUGAUCUAGGUUCUUCACUUGGUGGAGUCUGGGAGUUGUAAAACUCCUUUAUAUUUUGCUCGAAGUGUACCUGCUCAUAAAGACAAGGCAGAGAUCAAGUGCAUGGGCCCUGUUGGUGGAAAACACCAACAGAACCAAAAGUGUAUUUGUUCUUCUCUAACCUUAAGCAUAGUGAGCAAGACAAAGUUGAUGGAUAAUAAGAUCAUGAGUAUAGCAUUUAAAACAUUUGUCAGAUCAGAAAGCUCAACCUAAUGGAAAGAUAAUCUAUCUAUAUUUAUGUUGUUUUUUAUAUAUCUUCCAAAGAUUGAGUGUGCAACAUUUUAGUUCAUAUGAUUAGGAGUGUGGGAUCACAAAGGUGGAAGGACUAAACAUAUUGAAUCGACUGGGUUGGUUAAUCUAGAGUUAUAAAUAAUACAUGUUUGUCUCUUUCAUUCAUGUGAACGCCAGAACCAAGGAGAAGCUUAUAAAAGUGAUAGUCAAGUACCUUAAAAUGUUACCUUACUUGGAGAGUGAUGGUACAGUAUCACCUUGUGGAAGCUCUCCUUUCUUAGCGGUUGUGAAUCGUGUUUGUGGCACCCUCCAUGGAUCAUCUCUUGUGAGCUAUGCCUUCCUUGUGUAAUUUGUUAACCUUCAUGUGUCUCUCUCUUUGUCUCCAACGUGAGUUUAUCUCAGGACUUCCCAGGUUGAUAUUGAAAGUUUUCCUGCAGGGUUAGUCCAACAAAAUAUCCAAUAUCUACUAUAGCAUACUAUCGGCUCAAAAAUCAACCUAGACACCAUGUCUAAUUUGAUUUAGGAGGGCAUUUUAACCUAAGCACCAUGCUUAAUUUAAAAUCCCUUGAAAGUAAGAUCAUCAUUCCUAAACUAAGCACCAUGCUUAAUUAAGAGAUAAAUGAAACUACUCUAAACUUAGACAUAUACUAAAGCAAAUAAAGGUAGCAUGAGAGCAUUUAUAGAGUACUCAAGUGGAGAUGAAGUAGUGUGAUUAGUAUUUAACAAAUUGAGCAUGUCUCAAAGGUAGGGAUAACCAACAUAGCAACAUGGCAAAGGGUGUUUUUAUGUAAAGUACUCCCCCAAGGUUGAAUUUUGCAAAAUUCAAGUUUGGAUGAAUUUAAUUCAAUGUUGUAUGAUGAUUGGUUGGACAUACCUUGUGCUUGUCAUUCAUCCGAUCUUCUUGCUCCAAUCCUGGAAAGGUUAGUGACAAGAAUACCCGAAGGAAUAUUUUUACAAUUAUCCUUAUAUGCUCAACACACAAGGUAAUGUUGCAAAUAAUUAAAAGCUCAUGUUACAAUCUGAUCAGUGCUUGUUUUAGGACACUAAGCUUGUCCUUGGGAAACCAUCAAUUUAUGUCGGCGAAGUGGUUUCCCCUCCAACGCUGACCUAUAUCAAGAUCAACUCAACGAGAUCUGCAAUAUUUAAUAUAGACAUAUGCAUCGACAACCGCCCUUUUAAAGUUUUUACAAAUAGAAAGGAUGAGGGGGUUGGAGAUCUCGAAUGUGGUGAUGUUGGAAAAACCAAUGGAUUGGGAAGAUGUUGCAUAUGAGCAUGGAGUAAAUGAAGUGACUAUGAAAUAAAUUCCAUGCUCAUUAAUGCUUAGAGUGAAAUUCAUGUGGUAUGGUGAAAAUGAUAAGGUGAGUGUGGUAAAAAAGGAAAAGAAAAAGGAUACACGGACGACUUGGUUCAAAACUAGCACAGGUACUGUUCCCCGGCAACGGCGCCAGAAAGCUUGUUGGGUCUUUUAAACGCAAACAGAAAACUCCACAAGCACACGGAUACCGAUGUAGCUUUCACCUAGGAGUAUUCCAGAGUAUCGAUUUUCCACAGGGAACGUGAGUGUACUAAUUAAGAUUCAAGAUCGCCCAAGGAUAACUAAUUAUUUUCGGUGGGACGAGAGGAAGUUUCCUGAGAGUUCUCUAGUUGAUCUAAGAAUCAAGAAUUACUUCAAAGAUUAUUUAUUUCGGGACAUCAGAACACUAACCACAGAAAGAGAUGAGAAGGGGGCUAGGAAGCUCUGACUACGGUCCAACAAACACCGAUCCGAACGAGGUGGAAUACGUCGAUCGUUAGGGCUGUCACUUCCCUAGGGCUACCACAACAAUCCGCAGGAUUGGGUGCAGUUCCAGGUAAUUGCAAGACUAAACACCACGUCUAAUCUAUUAAUUACUACUCUAAUGUUUCAAAGAUUAGAGCACUUGAUGCAAGCGGGAAUCCAAUAAAUAACUUGAAUGUAAAUAAAAGUAAUUAAAGAACUCAGGAAUUGUGAAUUGAAGAACCUGGAGAACGAUGUAGAACGAACCAGUUGCUGCAAAAGUACAAUGUUGAGGAAGAUCCGACAGAUCUGGCUCCUCCUCCGCUCUCCUCUUCUCUCUUCCUAUUUUCUAGAUUACAACUAGAACUACAACUAGAGGAACUGGAACUAGAACUAGAACUAGAACUAGAUGAACUAGAGGUAGAACUAGAAGAACUAGAGGGAUCCUCUCUACUUGGAUGAAGAAUUGAAACCCUAGCUUUGAUUCUGUAGAAGAGGUAUGAUCUCCAGGGGCCAGGGGACCUUGCUUAUAUGGUCUUUUCAGAUAAAUCUGGGCCGUCAGAUCAAACCGACAUUGAUCGCACAGUUUUCUUUGAUCCUUUAGGUCGGUGGAGCAUAAUACGCGAAACGUGUCCUGAUUGGACUCUGGAAGUGGGUGGGCGCCCAGGAGACUAGGGCGGGCACCCUGUCCUUGAGCCCUCUCGGCUUCCUGUUCGUUCUCGUGGCUUCUGGAGUCUUCUAGAUGAUAGAAAAUUGCGCGACACGUUAAUAUCUCUAUGUAAACCCGACGUGUGGGCCUUUCCUCCGUAUUUCCUGAUAACCCCCUGCAGAAAUAGACAAACACCAAAACUCGUGGAAUUCUGUCAGAUAAAACCCUAAGUCUAGGUGUUGGUUCCAUUUAGAUCCUUUUCCAUGAUUAGUUGAUGUUUAAAUGUGAGCAUUAAGGACCGUCAACACGCGCCUCUUUGGUGUCUGCUUUAACGUCGCCACCGCUAUGCAGGAUAUGGACCUCCUCCGUGCCUUCCUCCGCUUCGCUGACUCCUGCCGAGGCACCGACGCUGCGCACGUGGCUAUUUAGGUCAGUCAUCUCCGGGACGUCGUCUUCGAGCUCGAGGAUGUCGCCGACGAGUGGUCGUACCUCUCCGGCAAGGGCCUGGCCCGAGACUGCAUCAAUGUCAAGGCCUGGUUUGCCCUCUCGAGGCGGCUGCGUAAGGCCCGGGAGAGGCUCUGCCGGUUGUCCGCGGAUAAGGAGUAGUAUGGCAUCUGCUUGUCCAACGGCGGCGCCGGGCCCUUCGAUACCUGUAUUCGUCGGCCGCGGCUGGCAGACAGGGCACACUUUUUGGAGGAGGAGGAGGUGAUCAGCUUCUCGGUGCAUGAGAAGGAGCCGAUGGAGCUGCUGGUCAAGGACGCAGAGCCACGGCGUGCCCUGGUCGCCGUGUACGAGAUGCUUGGCGUCGGCAAAACCACCCUCGUCACGCGCGUGUACAAGCAGCUCGUGACGAUGAGGAGGCACUUCGACUGCUCCGCGUGGGUUGUCGUCUCGCAACACUCCACGACGGAAGAUCUCCUCCAGAAGAUGCUCAAGGAGCUGCACCGCGACGCCCGCUGGAACGAAGCCGGCGCAGGCUACCCAUCACUCGUGGGCCACAUUUCGCACCUUUAGGCCUUGUUCGUUUCUACUGGAUCAAUCUGUUUUUAGGCCCAUUCCAGGUGGAUUACUGCAGUCCGUUUUUAGUCUAGAUGGGAACUGAAAUAUGUAUUCGUUUUGGGCUGGCCUAGAAUGAAAACUGGCCCGAAACAAAAACUGGCUUCUUUUUUUCUAGUCUCCACGACCCGGAAUGAAACCGGACCUUCUACUAUUCGGAUCGGUUCUUGGCCCAAGUGGAGGAAUGAGUAGAGGAACUGGAUCUAAGGGCGAGAAUGGUUCCUGUGGAGGCAAACAACUGUAUUUGGGUCAGAAUUCAAUGUUUCAUCUUAGUACCUCGCUUCAGGCUUUUAACCGUGCUGAACCUCUGGUUGAAUGGGACUAAGAAGUUACCAUGCUCACUGACCAAUCUUCACAAUCUGCAGUAUCUCGGCAUCCGUUCCACUCUCAUUGAAGAGCUUCCAAAGGAAUUGGGCAACCUGCAGAAGCUGCAAACCUUGGAUGCCAAGCUGUCCAUGGUUCAGAGGCUGCCAAGCAGAAUUGCAAAACUGAGGAGCUUGCGCCAUGUUGGAGAUAAAAGCAAUUUAGCGAUGCAUAAAUUAAUUCUGACAACAAGAAAAAGACUAACAACAUGUAUCACAGAUCUAGCGCUACAAUUUGAGUCAAAUUAACGGGAUGUAGUGCUAGCAAUAGAAACGAUAUGAGACCAAACAACACAGAGAGGAUAGACAUCUUUACAGCGGGGUUGUCGGCGCAAAGGAAGAAGAGGAAGAAGAUGAAGACUGUCGACGGAAAUCGGCGAACACUAGGCGUAGAGGGAAGAAGAUGUCCAGCGAGCAGUCGCGACGGUGCUUUCCAAAAACCUAAUACGCCCUCUACCCCGUGCAGGGACGCGAGGAGACGUAGGCUUCAGAGCCUGCUCUCCCGACACAGAUGGCACGUCGGCGACGGGAUGGGGAAGACAGCGGCAGCGCAACAGUGUGGCGAGGAAGAGAUGAAACUCUCGGUACAAAGAACGGCGUCUCGCCCCAUAGUAUGGAAACUUUACCUGCCGUUUACGCACUUGCCAUAAUACAAGAAUAAUUUCUUACCAAAUAGGCCAGCGCAAUCUCCUCCAUGCAUGCAAAACUUCCAAGUAGCAAAAGGAAGCCGAGCAUCCGCAAGGGUCGAAGUGGGAAAUCGCGGGACCAUUCACGCGCAUGUCGUGCAUGCGCGCUCAUUGGCCUGGCCCGGCGAGGCGAGCGCGCGCGUGUGGUUGUUCCUUUUCCUCUCCCCAAUUGCUUCAACAAAAUAGAGAUAGCUCAACCUUUUAAGUUGGCCUCAGUCCACUUGAAAUAGCAAGGUAAAACUAAAGUCCCCCACCUUUCCGCAAUCAGUACCAGAAUAAUAUAACAUUCGUACCUUCCGCAUCGCCAAUCCCAUAUCUGAUGAAAUAAUAUAACAAUAGUUUAUAAUAUAUAUAUAUAUAUAUAUAUAUAUAUAUAUAUGACAAACAGUACGAGAAUAGUCUUAUUAUGCUAUAGUAGAAAUUGUUUAAGUAAAUAUCACCGCAAGACCAUGAAUGGAAAAAAGAGUUCCGCCGUCAUAACACAAAUGUACUAAAUCCAGGAGAAGUGGAGAACAAUAUUUUUCAGAUCUAGGGAAAACGAUGAAUGGUAUCUAUAACUCUUAGGCCAGUCUCAGUGGGGGUUUCACCAGGAUGUCAUACACAUUUAUUAGAGCGCCAUGUCAGCAAAACUGCACUUUUUGCAUGAAACGAAGAGGAGAGAGAAGGAAGUAGUUUCACCAUGGUGAAACUCCGCUGGCGUUGUUUCCCACGCGGUGAAACAUGAUGAAAUCCCCACUGAGGACUAAAUCGUUUCACCAUCUUGCAUAUGAUCUAAUCAUUUUGCAUUGUGGAGGUUGUUUCAUUGUUCGUUUCAUUGAUGCUUUGCUCAGCCUAGGAAACAUCAAGGUGAAACUCAUGCAUUGUGGAGGUUGUUUUAUUGUUCGUUUCAUUGAUGCUCUAUCAGCAGAUUUGUUUUGGAAACAGUGCAUUGAAACGGGCCAUUGAGACUGGCCUUAUAAAGUUAAACCCCACUAGAUGAAUUCUCUCUUAAUGCAAGGUGUCCACAUCAUUUCCCACUAAGUGCCCACUAAAUAUUUUAUCUCUUCAUGCAAGAUGUCCACAUCAUUCCCCACUAAGUUCAUGUCAUUCCAUAUUAAUUAUAAAAAAUAACCAUGUCAUCUAUAUCAUGUGAAAUACUUUAAAUCUUUAAUAUAUUCACAUACAAGUCAUGUACAUACAUUAUUUUUUUCAUCACCAAUUAAGUCCUCUAUAAUGUAACCAAAUAUUAGUUUUUGUUUUAUUAGCUUAGCAAUAUUUUACUAGAUCUAAUACAAUAAAAUACAUGCAAGUCAAAUUCAUAUGUGUACAUACAUAAUAGACUAAAUACUAUAUAGUAAUGCUAUGUAUAUAAUGAUUUAUUUUUAAGAAAAUCCUACAGCAAUGCGCGGGAAAUUCACCUAGUUAUAAUAUUAAUGGAAACAUGAAACGAUGGAUAAAAGAAAAAAUAAAAUAUGCAGAAAAACAUAAAUAUAGAAUGACUGAACAAAUAACAUAAAUAGAAAAAAUAAAAAAUUGAAUAAAGCAUAGUGGAAAACAAAAGAAAAUAAAAUCACGUAAUAGAGGAAAAUACAGGAAAAAUAAAAAAUAAAAUCACAUAGAUACUAUUUGAACAACAUAUAAUGCACUAUUGAACAUCACACGAGUACUAUAUAAAUAAUAAAAAUAAUUAUGACAUAUCCCACUUGUAUUACAAGGAAAUCAUAUAUAGAACAUGAUUUUUGAAAAAUAUAAACCAUGGUAAUACAAAUAAUUAGAGUAAAAUCACAAAUAAAAAAUAAUUAAUCACAAAAUAAGAAAUAUAGAAAAUAAAAGGGAAAGAUAAACGAAAGAGAAACAGAAGAAAAGAAAGAAAACAAAAAGAACAAAAAAUGGAAAAAAGUGAAAUAAGUAAAAUAAUUAAUUUACAAAAAAGAAAUAAAGAAAAUGGAAAAAAUAAAACAUCAAGGAGAACAGAAAGAGGAAAAAAGAAAUUAAAAAAAGAGGAAAAACUCAUCAUGGUUCCACGAUCUUCGCUAGUAUUGAGGCGACCUGCAGUGGUGUCAAGCAUGCUCGCACAUCCGGACCAACGAUGACAACUGCUAUUUCUUCUUCUUCGACUAAUAAGUCUAGUAUCGAUAAAUUACAAGACUAACUCAUAAAUAUAUAAAUUUGGAUAACAUCUCCAUUUCAUGUUUAAAUGGACAACAUAAUUUACGUAAACAUGUAUAGUUGGCUCCGGAGCAUGAUAACAAAUGUUGACGUCAAUGUAUUGGUCCUCUUGUUGUGCAGUUCUAAAAAGUCGACUUAUAAUCAGUUAAUCUUUCAUAGAAUUUUCAGGUCAACAUUAAACGAGAGAUUUGGGGUGUGAGAAUGAAAAAUUACAUAACUAAAAUUUGGCAAUUGGCAUCAAGUGUCUGCAGUUUGCUAUCAGUUUUUCGAUGAAAAACUAAAUUAUAAAAAAACCCAAGUCUCAACUGUGACGGUUGAGUGGAAUAUAAAAGAGAGACAUCCUAGGGUUGAAAGGCGUCUAGGGAAGGUGCCCACAACUUGGGCUUAAGCCCCAACUCGAUACAUGGCCAAGUUGGCCCAAAAUAGGUGACGCAACACUUUGUCGUGGUCACACGGAUUAAUCCACGGGUCAUCUGGAGCUAGGAGCAAAUCCAAAAUGAUGGCAUCAUCAUCCCCUUUCAAACGAGUCCAAGAUGUCCUUGUUUCGAUGUCGUAUGAAGAAGUUAUGAUCGAAACAUUAUCGACGUGUCUGCUGAAUCCGAGUGUGACAUGGAAGCUGAGUUGGAGAAGAAUUACAACUUGGAAAAGACGAUGGUGUAGGCGUGUCCAGCGUGGCGAUUUCUUCAUCAUCCUCCCCUUCGUGAAUUGUAGUCGUCCACGACUCCAUCUUGGUGAUGUCCUCGUCAGGAGCUUUUGGGGCUAGAGAGGUGCCUUGGCUGAAGCUUUGGUCGAGUGAAUGAGUUCCCCCAACGGUUAGAAGUGAGGGAAGAGUUAUUUAUACAAGUACUCAUAGAUGAGCUACCAGUAUUAUCGAUGGGUAAUAUUCGUCUACUAGUCCCUAAGUUUCUAACCGUUGAAGCCAAUUAUAGUCAUAAAAGUGUUUCACUAGAAAAGUCCUACUAGUACUACCGAUAUUCCACCGGUACCACCGGUGCAUACCGGUACCUCCAAUAGUUCAAAUCUAUGCCAAACUUGGGUUGGCAACAGCGUUGUGUCUAAGCCUACUGGUACCACCAGUGGAGGAUCACCAAUCCUACCAGUGUACCAAGGCAAGAAAAGACUUUGCCUACCGGUACCACCGAUGAAGGCCACCGGUACUACUGGUGCACCCAGCCAAGAAAGGGCUUUUCGAAGUGCCCGUCAAGUGCUAGAGUGUCUCUCUUAUGGUUUAAUUAUUAUGAUUGAGCACUCUGUCUUCCUCGUACCAACUAAACUUGCAUCCCUUUAUAGUGCGGCAUAUCCCAAACUCAAGGUUGAAAGAAUAUAACCAUUUUAACCACUGGAGCCUUUAGAGCCUUCAUAUGCCACUUUUUCUUAGUAUCACUUUAUAAGGGGAUGCAAUUACUUUGUCUCCUAUCAUUGAGUAAAUAUAGCUUGAGCAUCUGACUUGAAUCAUUUCAACAUAUGUGAGUUCAAUCCAUGCCUUCAAGUCACUUCCAUUCAUGAUUUAAUUCUCAACACAAUAUGACUCCUCAUAGCUUGAUUAGUACCUCAAUUCAAUGGAAGUACUCUCUUCUUCACCUUAGGCAAGGUAACUCGGUCUACAAGCCAUGGCUUGCCCUUCAUCUUCGCUUAGUCCCUCGAAGUCCUUUCCUUGCUAUCCUCACCCUAUCGGGCUAGACUCAAGUCACAUCAUAUUAAACAUCCAUCAGAGAACCAUUUCAUGAAUGUUGUGAUCCUUGCUUGAAUAUCUUCUUGAUAUGAGUCUUGAUAUCAAUCAAGCUUUAGUUUAUAAUAAUACACAACUUUGGCCUUCAUUUGAAUAUUAUGUGAAAUACCAUAAAGUGUGCUUUCUUGUUGAACUUUGAUACACUUGUUAGACCUUUAAUUAUGUUGUCAUUCAAUUCACCAAAACCAACUAAAGGUCUAGAUGCACUUUCAACCUUCCACCGAUCAAUUGCAGCUCUAUUAUUAUGUUAACUUAAGUGUGAUGUCCAAUUAUUUCAUAUUGCCCGUGCCCAGGUAAUCUUUUGAAUGGUCUUUGGCUUGUAUUAUUAGGCAUUAUUACGAUAGUUAACAUAUGUAAGUGAAAGGAGUUCAGUUGAGGAAAGCUAAUUUGCUGAGAAACACAUCACAUAUUUCUAAUAAUAGUUUGCAAACUAAUAGAAAUGUAUUUGUUAUAUGGUACUAUUAUGUUUCAAAUAUGUUCUGUGAGCUAUAGUUUUUCUUAUUACCUAGAACUAAGCAUUCUGAUUUGUGUUUUCUCUGGAUUUCUUGCACGUUGACAUUCAGUGGUAACGUCAAAAGAGCACAAGAUGAGGUACAUUUAAGAGCUUGAGCAUAAUAUUGGGUUUCUCUGUAAUGCAUAAGAUCAUACUAGAGAAGGUAGGUCAUGACAUUGCUAUUGUGCAUGACAUUGGUGAAGGUAGAUCAUGUCCGCCAUGCAGAACACAAAUUGUUGGUGUGUUGUAUGUCCAAUGCACUUAUGUGAUUGCGAAAACUACACUUCACCUGCCAAUACUUUGUACUAGCUUAAAUGCCUAAUUCAUCAACAAAGCCCACCUUUAGUAAAUUACUCAAAUAUUAAAAAUUCUUUGUUUAACAGUUGUUUUGGGUGAUUUUAUGCCAUCCUAAGGUAUACCCAAGGCAGAAAAAAUCCGACGUGAAUUGAUACGGCGUUGCCGCCGUGGGGUACACAGGGUUGAACGGAGGAGUAGGUGAGAUUGAGAAUUGGAACGCAGAGUGUAUCGGGGAAACUUAGAGGAGGGUUCAUUGCCGGUGGCCACGGCUGAAGCGCCUGUGGACACCAUCGAAGGGAAACCCGCCCGCUCUUGGGAGGUUCUAUUUCCUUCGAGUGGUUGUAUAUUAGAAUAUCAUCAAAAAAAACCAAGACAAAGCAGCGGAUGAAUGAUUUGAGCACAUCGUUCAUGAGAGCAUGAAAUAUCAUCGGCGCAUUGGUGACGCCAAAAGGCAUGACGAGGAACUUGAAAUGCCCACGGUGGGUCUGAAAGGAUGUCUUGGCGACGUCAUCCAGAUGCAUGCGCACCUGGUGGUACCCGCUGCAUAAGUCAAUCUUGGUGAAGAAGUGGGCACCGUUUAGCUCGUCGAGUAGCUCGUCGACCACCGGAAUCAGAAACUUGUCCUUCACGGUGGCAUCGUUGAGGGCGCGAUAGUCCACGUAGAAGCGCUAACUGUCAUCGUGCUUGUGGACAAAGAGCACCGGGGAGGAAAAUGCUGAGGUCGACUCCCUGAUGAUCCCUUGGCUGAGCAUGUCCUCGCACUACUGCUCGAUUUCAUCCUUGAGGAGCUGCGGGUACCGGUACAGGCACACCGCCACCGGUGGAGUGCUUGGCAAGAGGUGGAUCCUGUGGUCAUGGCGCCGUGGUGGUGGCAGACCACGGGGCACCUAAAAAAUGUCGUGGUACGACUGCAGCAGCUCCUCCAGCACCGCACGGGGGUCCGCAAUGGUGUGGGCGGCCACACCCUAGUUGUUCAUGCCGGUCGAGUGAUGAGAACGGCCGUUGUACCAGAAGAACAUUGCUAGGGCGCCGAAACCCCAGACGAUGGGCCCCAGCUCUGGAGCCACUGGACGCCAAAGACCAGAUUGAAGCCGCCCAAGUCGAGUGCGAAGCAGUCGAUGGAGAAGGCCUCGCCGCCAAUGGUGACUGGAGUAGCAAGGCAGACACCCGAGCUGCGGACCCGGUCGCCAUUGGCCACCAUGACGCUGAGGCCGGUGUGUGGCGUGACGGUGAGACCCAGGCGCUGCGCAACCACAGAGUGCACGAAUGUGUGGGUGGAGCCCGUGUCCACCAACGCCCGAAGCUAGACACCGCCCACUGUGACCUGCAAUAGCAAAGAAUCCACAGAGUUGAGGCUGGUUAGCACGGAGAGGGAGAUCUCCAAGUCGUUGAUCUCUCUGAGUGGGUCCUCCUCGCCCUCCGCCAGGUCCAUGAGGAAGACACCGCCCUUGGAGGCGCACUUAUGAACUUUGCUACAAGGCUCAGGGCAAAAGUAGCAAUGCCCAUUCCGCCUUUUCUCCUCCAUCUCGGCCACCGAGAGAUGGCAAAAGCGAGGAUGGGGGCCCUCUAUCUUGUUGUGUGAUGCAGGGGCACUGGACACACCAGUGCUGGCCGACACGGUGACACGGCGGGUUGAUGGUUUAGGUGCAGCAGAGCUAUUGACCAUCGAAGCCUCCGCAUGGCGCUGCUCUUAUGCCCGUGCGAGACUCAUGGCCUUCUGAAGAUUGGUGGGGUACUGCAUCUCGACAUUGUGGGCCAGUGGCUAGCCAACCCACCCGUGUACAGGUCGAUCACCGUCCAUGGUGUGAGGCUAUCGCAACAUGCGAGUAGGGCGAGGAACCGCCACGAGUAGUCCUCCACUGAGCCUGUGCGGACCAAGGCCUUGAUCUCGGCAAUGGAGUUGGUGUGGAUCAGCGGCCCGAAGCAAAGGUUGACGAAGUCAACGAAGUGCGGCCACGACACCAUGCCGAAGUCACGCUCCAUCUGGGUACCAUUCAGUAGUGGUGCCGUCGAGGUGCAGGGACGCCAUCCACACCUUCUCAUCCUCUGGAACACAGUGUCCACGGAAGAAACUAUCGCACUUGUUGAGCCAAGUCAGAGGAUCAGACUCGCCGUUGAAGGUGGGAAAGGGGAUUUUGGGCGGCCUGUGCUGCUCUCGGUGGUGAUCGAUGAAUCCACCUCCACCACGGUCGUAGUCGUGGCCACCUCGUCCAUAGCCACGGUCGCCACGACCAGCGUAGCCGAAGUCGCGGUCAUCGCGUCCACCGCGCGAGUCGUAGCCGCGUCCGCUCCAAUCGUAGCAGUCUCGGUCGUCGUGGUAGUCGCAAUACUAUAGGGGGCCUGAUCCCGUGAGUCAGCCCCACGGGCGAAGCGACCCCACUCGCGAAGUGCCCGCUCGCGGUACUCGUUCCACGCACGAUCGCGCUCGAGAUCGUAUGCGUCGGCGUCCGUGUCCUGACGGUGUGUGUCGUCUCCGCCAUCCUGAUCCUCUGCUACACCAACGCCUUUACUAGAAUCAGGCUUGUCGGUCUCAAUGCGAGACAUUCGCUAGUCGUGGGAGUUGAGGCGGUUGGUGAUGGUGGUGAGCUGGGCGAACAUGCAAUCAAAUUUCGCAUCUAGCCGCGCCUCCAUGGCUGCAGGAUCGACAGGAGUGCCGGACAUGGUUGUCGAUGCACCCAGAUGGGUCUCCGAUACCAAAUUGAUACGGCGUUGCCGCCAUGGGGUACGUAGGGGAGAACGGAUGAGUAGAUGAGAUUGAGAAUUGGAACACAGAGUGUAUCGGGGAAACUGAGCGGAGGGUUCGUCGCCGGUGGCCACGGCUGAAGCGCCUGUGGACCUCGUCGAAGGGAAACCCGCCCGCUCUUGGGAGGUUCUAUUUCCUUCGAUACGGAUUACAUCCUUUCUAAGCCACCUUUAUAGGUUAGGUGCUUUCCCUAACAAACCAAAACAGAGAUCCUAAAAUCCCUCCCAACUUAUUGACUUCUAAAACUAACUAGAGGCACCUUAGCCACUAUUGGCUGCGGCACACCUGCCCCUGCGCCGGUACUGCCGGCCUACAAAGGAGUCCACAACAUGGACACACAGCUCUAGGUGAAAUGUGUGAAGUUCUUGGUGGGGGGCCAAUUGGUGGGUCAUAUUUUUUUUAUGUUAAACGUCAGAUCAAUGUAGAAACUUCGCUGCACCAAAAGACUAACUAUUUAUCUAUAUAAUAAUUCUUUUUUACAGCUGAUGAGAUUAAAGAGCUGUCGGAAGAAUAUGAAAACAAUUAAUUCUUCUAUUGAAGCAAAUCUUGUAAAAGAUUUUGACAAAGUAAGAAUGCAGUUGUUUUUGUAAUGUUCUUUCAGUGUUAUUAUUUGUCUCUCUUUCCAGUUUCUGAUUUUAAUUUUCAUGACUGCUAGCUGUAGCUAUGUAUACGUUUGCUUUUACUUAUCAAAUUCAUUAGAUUUACCAACCUUGGCAGAUUAUGAACUUCUAGAACAAGUUCAUCACAAGUACUUGGCCCAAGGUUGUUCUGAAUUGAAUCGGUGAUUAUGAGUUGCUUGCAUACUUGUAUGUCCUGAUAAGCUCACAUAAGACUUCUUGUAUGAUGUGACGAGUACAGUCUAAAUUUUGGAAGAAAGAAAUUUGCCUUUUUGGUUUGUUAUAGUUAGAAAAUGAUAUUUGUGCAUAGCUACUAAAUAGUAAUGGAAACUUUCUAUGAACUAACUAUCGUUCAACAAUCAACACUACUACACUAUUUUUUACAUGGAGGGAAAAAAAAUUAUCCGAGGCGGUUUUUGCAACCACCUUGGAGGUAAGGUCACGGUUAAUGUGACCAUUAACCGAGGCGGUUCCAUGCCCGCAACGGUUAAUCCGAAAAACAAAAAAAACCAGGGCCUGGAUCUAGGCCUCGCUCCAUGCCGGACCCGACCCGGCCACUACCGCCUGCAUGACGCUACUGUCGUUGCGACCGUGCUCACCGCCAUGAGGGUUGACGAAGAGCUCUUCUCGCCCAAAUCCGGCAUCGGCUUGCUCAUCGCCGCAGGAACUGCCACCAUCAACGGGGAGCUCCUCCCGUCUGGAUCCAUUAUCGAGGGGCGCCACCGCCCUAGAUCCUACACCAGGAGCCCACGAUGUGGUGAAAGAUGCCAGAGGUGGUGAUGGACGUCGGAGGUGGUGGAGGAGAGGGAGGGACGUGCACGUGCCGCCGCACCUGGAUCAAGCCGAGGAAGGCCUGGAUUCGUGAUGGUGGGGCCAGAUCUGAGGUGGUGGGGCUGGAUCCACCACACCGAAGUGCCCCGUGGCGCCGAGCACGCCCUUGGCCCUGUAGUUGUACAUAGCCUAGAUCCGCACCACCCAUGCGCGCUGCCCUAGAUCCGCGCGGCCCACGCACGCUUUGCCCUGGGCCGCCGACCGCCCGCACCCGUGCUGACCUCACACUGCAUCGAGGUAAAGGGUGGGAGGGAGAAGGGGCUGGUCGAAGGAGAAGUUGGGAGCAUCGGGUGGAGGCACCGUUGGAGAGAGAAGAGGGUGAGAGAAGUGGAGGUGAAGAAAACCCUAAGUCCUGCAUAUAUAGUAGCCCGAUAAGGUAGAAUGGGCCACAGAUUUCAUGGGCUUGGCUAGUCCCGAGCCUAUUAAUGGAGGCGGACUUUAUAAAUGGUCCGCCUCAGAAAAUAGGCUAAUUUCUAGAGACGGGCUCUAUUAUAAUAACCGCCUCUGUAAAUGGAUUUUGCGAGGUGGUUAAAAAAACUGCCUCGAUUAAUCAAAAGUGACUGCCAUCAAGGCAUUAGCUGAGGCGGUUUUCGGCGUUGUCCGCCUCCGGAAACAAUUUCAAAACGUCUCGCAAAAGAUUUUUUGUAGUAGUGCAAUUUUUGCAGAAAGAAUUAUGCCCUUUUGCAAUUUUGGUUUGUUAGUUAGCAGAUGAUACUUGUGCUACCAUAUACCCCUCUAGUCCACGAGCAGAUGGCUAGAGGGGUAUAUGAUAGCUGGCAUUAUUUAUUCUCUUUCGAGAAAAGAAUUUUAGAACCUAUAUAAUAUAUAUAUAUAUGUCCAAUUAUAUAUUUGCUUGUAUGGCAAUUAGUGGAGUUGCAACGUAAUUGUUCAAAAAGAAAAAUAUCAGAAUAUAAUUUGAGAGACUACCAUUUGUGAAAUAUUUUUUUUUUCUAUAGGGAGGAAUACCAUUCUUCUUUUAUGUUUUUGAAGAUAUUUAAAUCAUUAUCACUAAAAAGGAUUUCCCACAAAUCAUACAGCAUUCUGAUAUGUUCAGGGGUAACCAUUUUUAGUUGUUUUAUAUACUUUAUUUAGUUAUAAUUUGCAUAUAUCUGAAUGUUGUUGUAGUCUUAGUCCAGCGCCUUCUGGCCACGAGGUCCUCGUACCAGCUGCUAAAGCCGAGCCACCUGGAGCCGCCGAUGGGGUGGGUGCUUUGCUCAUUGUUGAAGUACUCCCACCACACCCCAGUUGUGGUCUUGAAGCCAACGAGGUAUAGGUUGUCAACGCGCAUGUCGACUGUGAGGAAGCUAGUCGAGUUGUGGAGGACGACAUGGAACCACAGCCUGGGACCGUUUGAUCACAUUUUCCCAUACUAUGUGGACGAAGUUGUCGUAGUCAGCUCGAUGAAAGAAUCCCUGAUCUCAGGUGUUUCCAGAUUGUAGAUUGUGAGUGUUGAUUGAUUGUGUAUUGUCUGUGAUAUAGGCAUCUAUAUGUAGUAGGAGAAAUAGGUACCUAUGUAAAUUUCAGAAACAUAAUCAGCCUAGUGUGAUCUCAAGCAUUAUGUUAUUGAUGCCAUUCUUUUUUUUGCAUAAAUUCCUAAUCAAUGCUCAAACCAAUUAGGCCUGGAGAGUUUUGUAGCAUAUGUUUUUAGAAACAUAAAGAUUUCUUUCUGCCGAUAUAAUAUAUUAUUUUAGCCAUAUUACAAAAAGUUCUAUAAAGUACAGUUUGUGAGCCUACAAUGCAGGCUCUCUAUGACUGUAUUAAUUUCAUAAACUUCUUUUUUUGAUUAAAUUUCACUUUAGUAUUGAUAUUUAAUUUUUAUAGUAUUAUUUUUUAUUGUGCGAUUUGUAUAUUUUUAAUAUAAAAUAUUAUAUAUCGCGUAACGAAGCAUGCAUGGUUAUCAGGUUCGUCAAAAAAAAAAAUCGUCACCCUGUGCAAGGUACGUACGGGCAUAGAUAGAUUGCAAACCAGAUUUUUUGAGAUUAUAUUAUUUUUGGCUGAUGUUGGAUCAGAGAUGGUCGCGAUGCCUAUACCUAACGCGCCAAUACUGGCCUUCCUAAUAAAUCCAGAAAUUACAAAAUCGUCGCCGCUUACAUUGGCAGGGGAAAUGGAUCGCAAGAAAUGAAUAGGAAUUCGGAAACCCAAUUGGAUUCAACCUUCUAUCUACACGCACACAUAUGUAAUGGCUAGGAAUUCGGAAAUCCAGUUGGAGCCGUCAGUCCGUCACCGUAUUCCCUUCAACCUUCUAUCCCGACUAGGAUUCAGCCAACGGAGCAGCCACACGGUAUCCACAUAGGUAAAGCAAAUCAAGGUGUACGCAGACGCCGAACAGUCUGAAAUCUUGAAGCAUCCAGAACAGUUUUACCCUAUAUAUAAACAGGCUAGAGCCGGUCAGCAGUAGAUACUCGCGACUUCCACGAUAAAUGGCGAACCACGAGCAUCUUCUGGAAUCGUAAGUCUCUAGAUCUCUACCUCUCCCUCUGUUAAUUGCUUGGAACUUGGAAGUCAUCCCUUAGUUUCUUCUUUAAUUUGCUCAUGCACACGCCAGUGCCCUAGAAAUUAACAAAAUCCUUUCCAUAUUUUUACAAUGGAAUCAACAUGUUUAUGCCUGGUUCUGGACCCAAAUAUAAUCUCUAGGGUUUAGUUUCAGUCUUAUAGACUUUUUUUUUGAGGAAAGCCAUUAGGCGCACUUUAUUGAUUUUGCAAGACAGUUACAUCUUUCACCAAGGCUCUUAGCAGAAAACUAGGGGGUUCAUUGAUCCAAUUACAUGUAAGCUUCUCAUGGAGCGCUAUUCAAGCUAAUUCAUGGGCUACACCAUUUGCUUUCCGUCUACAAUGUUCUAAUGAAAUAGAAACAAAAUCAAGCCACAUCAGUUCACACUGCUCAUAAAUUGGACCACUGAUGGUAGCUGUGAAUCCCCCUUGUCGCAUUGUCUCCACUACCUCCAAGCAAUCAGAUUAAAUUCUUAUUCUAUUGCAUCCCAUUGUCUGAGCUAGUACCAAUUCUUCUCUAAGUGCAGUUACUUCAGCAGUAAUAGCAUCAGACAUGAACUCAAGAUAGCUUAAGGAACCCGUUGAGUCCCUUAUAAUCGCACCUGUUUCUUCCGAUUCGAGUUCAGAUGUAUAACUUGCAUCUACAUUCAGUAGUAAUUCACUUUCAGGUGGUCUCCUCCAACAUUCUUCUUUCUUAAUGCAAUGCAUAUCCAAAUAAGCACUAUAUAUAUCUUCGUUUGAGUUCCCAGGUGAAUUUUGGGAAAGAGAAAAAGAACGUGUUACGACUUACAAUUUUACAGUUUGUAGUUUUUAGUAUUUUUCUUCUGUCACACGGUUUGGUGUAGAGUGUUCACUGUUCGAUCAGCGAGACUUUGGGAGUUUGGAGUACAUGCUGUUUCGAUCCCUCAGUAUUAGACCUAUACUAUAAUCAUGUUUUUGACAUUGGCUUGUCUUUGCAGGCAGAUGAUUAUUGAUUUACUUUUCAACAAAAUUAUAAUAAAUAAGAUGCACGAGAAAUUACUUUUUUAAAUGAGUGUGGUAAUUAACUUUCAACAGUGCCCUCUAUUUAGCCAUAUAGGAAAAACAAAAACUCCAUCAACAAUACUUUAAUAUCUUGCCUAUAGCUAUACAGCAAAUCUGAAGAGAGGGCAAGGGGCACGACAAAAACCAUGCCACAUCUUAACCCUUGAAAUAAGAGAGAAAAAUAGCCAGCAUUGUUGAGAUUGGCUGGGUUCUUUAGUUUUUGCUGCUAUUUCAUUUGUUCUAAGUAUAUUCCCUUUCGUGUAAGAUUCCGUCUGUGGGCUCGAAAUUAGAAUGCCAUGCCUCUGCUGAAAUAGUAGUAUCCAUACUGCUUGAUAUUUUGUUUGCUUCGCUGAAGUUACUAUAAAUAGAACUGGUUAAUUCUCGUCUUGUUUUACUGCAAUUGAAAUAAUCUGUGCUGGCACUGUACUGUUUCAGCACAAACGAGAGUCUUGAAGGCCAGAGCAGUGCUGAAUCCACACUGUCCCUGCAGGAACUCAACGAUGCUUUGAUUGGGAAGCCAGAGCAGUGCUGUCCUUCUGAAGUUGCAGCCCCACGUAUCGGUACAAGGGGGAGAUAUGCAAGGUAAGGCUGAUAGCCGCUUUUUUGUGUUUUGAAUUUUGAUAUGAAUGUACCUUGCUUGUCCCUUUCCAUUUUGCUUUCAAGUUCUUGUACUCUCGAAUGGAAGAUGCAAACGUGACCAACCCUGUGGUCUGCAGUUUAUUGCACUUCAAAUAUAAAUAAUCUGCCUGAUUUCAAGCUUCUCAUAAAAAGAAGGGCAAAGACCAUAAAUUUGAAUGAAGUAAAAUAGGCAUCCAUACCUCAGAUUCAUUCAUAUGUUCUUGUUAACUAAGAGCGGUCACAGCUCCAUUGUACGGAAAUAAGGUAUGAAACAUAUGGUGGAUCAUAUAUCACAAUUCACAAAGAAGCACAAAUGUGAACAUCAUCAUUCUUCUGCGUGAACUUUUGAUCAUUAUGUGUUGUUAUAUAUGAGAAUUGAUGAACUUUGAUCAUUAUGUACUGACAUAUGGGAAUUGAUACCCAUUUGUUUUACAACAUAGGAGUAAAGCGGGAUGGGCUUCCAAGGAACGGAGUACUCCUGAAGGUUACAACCGGGAGGCACACGCUUGGCAGUUUGAAUCCCCUUUCUCGCAAGGGAUGAGCGCUAGCAGUAUAAUGGAUGCAUAUGUAGAUGCAUUUCCAGCUCCUGCUGCUGUCCGUCCACCAAAGAAGAAGAAGUCACCCGAGGAAAUGAAAGCGAUCAGAGAACAAAAAAUCGUGCAGAGUGAAAGAGACUCGGUGCACCAUGUUGAGACAGCCUUGAGUAAAUACAACAGAGCAAACAACACCACGGUAAUGUCACUGUCUCUUUUGUCUCUCUCUGUACCAAAUAGUUACCUGCGGUUUGAACCUUAGAUUUUUUUUUAAAAAAAAAUGCCCUUUUGUGCUAUUUUCAGUUUGAGCUGGACGAGAUAACAGUGAAGUGCCUGUUUUUUGAGUUUGGACGGCCUUGCUAUCAUUAUAACUUCACAGCUAAGCCUGAGAAACAACAUUCUGCUGAUGCCUAUGCUAAGCUUUUCUUCUCGGAGAUUAAUUGCCCUCUUCAUAGUGAGGAUGAUGUAUUGCUGUGUUGUAUACUUGGGGAGAAAGAUGCAGGUAAUGGUUUAAUAUCUAGCUUCAUUAAUAAUUUUCUGAAUCUUCCUAACAUUUUGGAUUUACUCUUGUGCUGUGAUACCAUUUCAUGUCACAGUUGCACACGACUUCUCUUGAGAUUAUUACAAUAGGGCGAUUAUUUUCAUCCUGUCCAUAUAUAGUAAGCAACAUCGGUUUCUUUAAAUAAUGGCUCAUAGAUGCAUUGUUACAUACUCCAUGUCAUGAUGCGCAACAACCCGAACUAUCUGAUGGAACAAUUAAGAAAAUUGGUACUUUUGGGAUAAAUUCUUCCCCGUUCCAGCUUGAAGUUUUUUUUGUGUGCAGCAUAAAACUUGUAUUGCAUUACUUGGGUUACCUAGAUAAUACUAGAUAUAUUAGUGUAGUUAGACAACUACUGUUUUUUCCCUUUCGAUCUUCAAUGUUCAUUUUGUUUAUUUGACACUAGCCAUGUUACAAUUUUAGGUCAUUGCCAUGCCUGCGAGGAUUAUCGACCUACGAUGGUUCACCCAUCAAGUCGUGCAUACGGUGGUGGUAAUACUACUGCUAUCGAUUAUCCUGAUGAGGACAGCUCAAGCUCAGAUUGUGACUAUUAUUAGCAUCUCGCUUGAAAUCCAAGAACAGCGCCUAGAUCAUUUGGCCAUGGUUCACCUUUUGCUGUAAAGGGUUUAGCAUCUCUGGGAGAUAUAUAUAUAUAUUUUGAGUGAUAUUUCGAAAUCUGGACCCUGCUUGUAAUACAAUCGCAGGCAUCCAAUUUUUUUUCGUCUUUCACUUUUGCCUUUGUGAUUACAAUAAACGUACAUGUCCGAUUUUCUGAUCUGACGGAAAAUUAAUAAGCCAUUGGCCAUCUUUGUAUUUCACUACAUACUCACGUUUGGAGGAAACUAGGGCUAGGGUAUUACUCCGUUCACAAAGAUGAGACACCUAAGUACCUGUAAUAAACUAAAACUACAACGUCUUAAACUGGUUACUGGUGCCACACAUGCUACAAGCUAAAGUCGAUGACCUCGGCAAACUGUAGGCUACAACCAAACACAUCUCGCCCCAUGCAUCGCGGCAGAGCUAGCGGGUGCACAUGACCAAGGAUCUGGGAUUGGGCCCGAAUCGACUGAAUUUCAGCGAAAUUCGCCCAAUUCGGCCCAGCCCGAAAUAAAACUAAACGGGCCAAAUAUUUCAGCCCAUUUUUUUAACACAAUUAUUACUCUCCGGACCUGAAUUAUACUAGUAUAAUACUCGUGCUAACGAUCAGUAAAAAAUAGUAGCCACUUGCCGCCGACGCCGGCCGUGACGACGAGCCGGAGCUGCAACGGUCCCACCGGCGCGCGCGAGGUGCACCACGUCACGGCGCCGCGCCUGCGCACACGCACCAUGGACCGCCACGACGGCGCCGACGCGUCCACCGCUGCGUGCGCGAUCUCGACGGCCGCGAUGUCCGUCUGACCGCCCUGGUUGACAAUGGAGAUGCAAGGGGGGAGCGGCGACGCGGGGAGUGAGGCUGGCGACUCUUCCUUCGCCGUCGUUUGACAAGCGACUCUCCGUCUGAUCCCGGUGCCUUCGACCAACAAGUAAGUCAGUCGGCUGCUCUCCUCCUUCCUUGGCUGGUCAUGGCUCUCCCUGUGUUGCCAAACCUUUCCUACAACCCUACCAUUCAGACUCUUGCUGAAGUGUCCCGCCUCUUUGGCACUCCGGUCUAUUGCGCUUCCUCUGAUGACUCCUCCUUUGCUCUCGUUGUUGCCUUUGGACGGUGUAAGUAUAAGCUUUGCUCCGUUGGAGUCAUCCUUCAACCCUCACAACGCCGGUCGCCACCUCCGGCACCGCCGUCCAGACGCAACUCCGCUAGCGAUGGAACCUGGAUCCGGCUCGCGUCGCUCCUGGGCCGACAUGGCCUACGCUGAAGAGGCUGCGAGGGAUGCUGCUAGAUCUGCCUACCCCGAGCUGCCGCCGCUCACGGCCGCUGCUCACGCCUCCCUGGUGCUGCGCACAACCUCCCUCGACUUAGAUGCGACGCCGUUCUCUUCGCCUGGGGCAGGCUACGGGGACCGGCUCCACUUCACCGACUCUGAGGCCUCCUUUGGAGACUCAGAUGCGUCGCCUUUGCAAGGUAAUGUUGGUGCUCCUGUACCCGUUCUGCGGCGGCGGUGGCGUCGUAUAUGUCGUCAUAGGCCCUUUCAGGGGUCUCUCGCUGCCCCACCCCCGUCGCCUGCACCUGUCGCCCAUCCAUCUGUGCUGGCCACCCACCCGCCCCAAAUGACAGGUCAGCUAGAUGCGGAUGGCUUCCGUGAGGUGGUCAGUCGCCGGCACUGGCGGCGAAUGGUCGUUCAACGCCGCCCGGUGCCCGCGAACCUGGUGGGCAAAUGCUUCAACUGCCUAUCGGAGAGCCAUGUCAAGGCAGACUGCACUUCGCCGCCUCGCUGCUUUCACUGCCUCGGUGAGGGGCACCAGGAGCGUUCCUACCCUGCGCUUGGUCGGGACACCGUCAAGCGGGGACGCUCCCCGGCCAUGGGUAUCGAGCGGCGGGGUAGGGGAGGCCGACGUCGUCGCUCUCGCGAGUCAGCGGCGGCCACUGUUUCAGGUCGUUCUGCCUCCACUGGUCGGUCACCGUCGGUCCCGCCGGUCUGUGCCCCCUACUCCGGAACCAGCCCCUGCUGCUUCUGUCCCUCCGGAUGCUGCGGCCACCUACUCGAGGGAAGCGAAUUCGCCGGUCAUCGCUGAUGCACCGGCCCGGUCGUCUUGCGAGAACGAGGUGCCGCUGCCUUCGGCGGUGGGAACUGUUCUUGGCAUUGAGCCGGCUGCGGAGGAUGUCGCCGGUCCUUCCAGAUCUGGGAGGGGCAAAGGUCGUGCUCGCCUCCAUGGGGCUGAGGAGCCGACGGCUUCGCCGCGGACGCGUGCACGGUCACCGCUGCGUCAGCUGGUGGUGGUUCCCCGCACACCGGCACUUCAAGCGGUAGAGGAUGCUCUGUCCAUGGCCCUGCUUGCGCUGGUGCUGGGCACUAGGCCGCCGGUGACCCCGGCCUUGCUUCUUCAACAUUUGUAUGACCAUUAUGGAUUCUUGGAGGAUCGGGUCAUGGUGCGGCGAACAAGACCAGAUGACUUCAUCAUGCGGUUCUCCAACCAGGAUGACCUACAGCGCGUCCUCGACAACUAGAGGCCGGAGGGGGCAGCAUUUACCAUGCGAUGGCGGCGUUGGUCCCGGCUGAUCCUUGGAUCGGCUGGCGCAUUCCGCUACCGAUGCCUAGUCGGGAUAAAGGGUCUACCGUCGCAUGCCCGCUCGACUGAGGUGGUCCAAUGCAUCCUUUGUUCUGCUGAAGCCAGGGCGGAAAUUGCCAACCCGAAGGCUAUGGCGGAUCCUGAUGAUGAGUGUGAACUGUUCGUUGCUAGCUGGUGCGCUCAUCCUGACCUUGUUCCGGAUGAAAUUAUCAUGGCGGUGCCAGAGCCGGAGGAGGAUCAUGAUGGUGGAUCUCCGCUAUACCUCCGACCCCAUGAGAUCAUUCAUGAUGAAGUACCGGCCUUGCGAUACCUGAUACGGCUGAGGUUCAUUGAGUAUCAAGAUUGGUAUACGCCGCCGCCAUCGUCCGAUGAUGAAAUGGACUACGGAGACGACGAUUCUGACAGCGACGACAGCAAUUUCAACAGCUACUACCCUAGAUUCUGUGAUGGAGGUAGCGGCGGUGGCCGCCGUCGGCCGCGUACAACCAGAUUCGGCCGGUCGGAUGAGCCGAGGCUUGGGCCGGGCUCCGGGCCCGCCUGUCGCCCACGUGAUUCAUCGUAUGCCAUCGUUGUGGGGAAGUGGGAGGGCCCUGUCGUGUCGCCUAGGGGCGCUCUACUCUAUGCCAGUGGUGCUGCCAGGCGCGUCACAGAGUUCACGCGUGUCGCGGCGCUAGGGGGCCAGCCAUUUGACCCUGACUGCCCGCCACGGUGCUCACCAUCUCCUGUCAAGACUAGGGCCUUGGACCUGAUGCUCGUGGAGACAAGCCUGUGCACGCCACAAAAGGCGAUUAGUGCCUGUGAAGUGCAGGCCGAAAAAAACUCCUUUCAUUGCUGGCCUGGGGUUGGCUAGGAGACACUACGCAGUGGUCGCAGGCUCAUCCAGACGGCCAUCGACGACUACUUUGAGCUUCUCGUAGGCCGUUUGGCGCGUAUCAAGUGUACGUCGGGGGUCGACCUUGACCUGUCCUUCUACAGGGACAUGAACCAGGAGCCGGUCCAUGGUGCACCACGCCUUUUGGGUGAUGAGGUCGAUUUGUGCAUGUUUGGUCCUGAAGGCUCCUCUGGACCAAAUUCUCCAAUGCACGGGGACGUGAUCUACGGUCAUCUUUCGUCUCCGCCCACCGAGGUCGCCUUUGAAGAUGAGCCUGUGAUUCCAACGUCACGUUCUCAGGAGGCACGGCUGGAGGCAGACGCUGAUCCACCGAACAAAGUAGAUGCUUUCAUCGCCGCCUUCAAGAAGCCGUUGCAGCAGCGUAUCCUGAUGUCAAUGCCAAAGGCGCAUGUCACCAGAUUGGAGCAGGCUCAUCUCAGAACAGACGCUGAGCUUGUGCCCAAGCGAAGUGCAAGACUAGCCGCCAAGAGCAAGAACCGACUGCCAAAGCCUGAAGCCCAAGCAAGGAAAGUGAUGAUGAAGAAGGCAGGGAUACAAGUCAACACGGAACUCGAAGAUGCGGCGAGCUUUGAGGAAUUCCAUGAAGCUUUCAAACUACCAUUGUCUCCAUUCACCAGAGAGGCCAUGGAGGUGCUCCUGCAUGGCAAUUCGCCGCAGGCUACACGCCGUGCUCAUGCUGUCUAAGCAGGCAGCGGAUGUCGCUGUUUAAUCAAACCAUGAUAAAUCAUAAAAUGUUUAUUUGGAACGUCCGCGGUCUUAACUCGCGGGCACGUCACGAUGCAGUGCGCGAGUUUGUGACUUGGGAGCGAGUCUCCUUAAUCUGUCAAGUUGAGACAAAACUCACUGCGCUGCAGCCUUGUAUCCUCAAUGAUAUAAUGGGAAGAGCGUUUGAUUAUGUCUCUUUGGCUUCUGAGGGUGCCUCCGGAGGCAUCAUUGUGGCCUGGCGGCAGAAUGCCUGGACAGCUUCUGCUCAUAUCUGUCGUCAUUUUUCAGUGUCUGUCAACCUGAAGGCAGUGGACUCGUCUUCCUCUUCAUGGACGCUUGCUGUCGUCUAUGGGCCGGUGGACGAUCAGCUCAAACGAGACUUCCUUGGUGAGCUCAGGAUGAUACAUGCACAGAGCUUACAGGCGCUUCUGGUCUGUGGGGAUUUCAAUCUUAUUUAUCAAGCUGCGGACAAGAACAAUGAUCGGCUAAACCUUAGAACUAUGCGUCGCCUCAGGCGUGCAAUUGAUGACUUGGUGCUGGAAGAGCUCUAUCUUCACGGGAGGCUUUACACGUGGAGCAAUGAACGCCGACAUCCGACCAUGGAGCGCAUCGAUCGAGCAUUUGAAACUGUACCGUGGUUAGAGAUGUACACGACGCACCAUCUCAGGACACUUUCAUCGGACAGUUCCGAUCACGCGUCGUUGCUGCUGCAGCUAUGCAUGGAGCCCUGUGCACGAUCAAGGUUCCGGUUUGAGCCCUUCUGGGUGCGCAUGGAUGGCUUCCUGGAGACUAUCGCUCAGUCAUGGGAAUGCCAAGUGCCCAAUGUCGAUGCUUGCCGCCUGCUUGACAUAAAGUUCAGACGAACAGCAAAGGCGCUGCAAAGUUGGAGCAUGCUGAAGGUGGGCAGUAUACGCUCGCAGCUAUUUAUGACCAGGGAGAUCAUUGCCCAGCUAGACAAAGCACAAGAAUCUAGAGCUCUAGCUAUGGACGAGCUGGCCUGGCGCCGUGAACUCAAAUGUCGCAGCCUAGGAUUAGCGUCCUUGGCUCGCACCAUUGCCCGCCAUUGGUCGCGCAUUAGAUACCUGGAAGACGGAGACGCAAACACAAAAUUUUUCCAUCUCUAGGCCUGCCAUAGAAACAGGAAGAGCUACAUACCGGCACUGCUUUAUGAAGGAGCAUGGGUUUCAUCGGAGGAAGACAAGGAAGAAGCGGUUUACAGCCACUACAAAAGGAUCUUGGGGACCCCUUAUCAACGUUAGCACUCGCUGCAAUUUGUUGAUCUGCUGCCGACAAUUGACCUAACAGGUAUUGAUGCAUGCUUCUCAGAGGAGGAGAUUUGGGCAGCAGUGAAGGACCUACCGUCCGACCGUGCUCCUGGACCUGAUGGGUUCAACGGUAUCUUCUACAAAGUAGCCUGGGGGAUAAUCAAGCAAGACAUUGUUAAUGCUUUCAAUGUUGUAUGGUCCCUGGAUGGUAGAAGUUUCUACCACCUCAACUGUGCUCUCAUGAUCCUGAUACGGAAGGAGCAGCCAAAUUCUUUAAGUGACUACAGGCCCAUCAGUUUGAUUCACAGUUUCAGUAAAUUUUCACCAAAUGUCUAGCGAGAUGGCUCGCGCCGCGACUGCAUGAGAUUGUGUCACCUAACCAAUGUUCCUUCAUAAAAGGACGCUCAAUCCAUGAUAAUUUCAGGGCUGUGCAGUUGACUUCUCGUUGGCUAAAUGCUAAGAAGGUUGCUGCUGUGCUGUUGAAGCUGGAUAUCGCGAAGGCUUUUGACUCAGUUUCAUGGCCAUUCUUGUUAGAAGUGCUCCAACACAUUGGCUUCCCCAGGAGAUGGACUGACUGGAUUUCCUUACUGCUUUCAAGUUCUAGCACUAAGAUCAUCAUGAAUGGAAGGCCAGGGAAUAGGAUAACGCUUGCAAGGGGUCUUAGGCAGGGGACCCGAUUUCUCCGAUGCUCUUUGUUAUUGUGAUGGAAAGCCUGAACUCUUUAUUCAAAGAAGCUGAUCGUCGCGGAUCUCCGUGCGUCAUUAUACGCUGAUGACGUGGUGCUCCUGGUUGCGCCUACGCAGACUGAUCUUGCGUGUGUGCAGCAGGUGCUGCUUCUCUUUGCUGGUGCAUCAGGACUGAUUACCAACAUUAACAAAUGCGUUUCUCCCCUAUCAGCUGCUCUGAGGAUCAGUUGGCAAUAGUGCAGCAGGCGUUUCCAUGCACCGUCACCCCCUUCCCAUGCAAAUACUUGGGUAUUCCUUUAUCCCUCAGAAAGUUAAGAAGAUGUGAGGAGCAAGUUCUAGUGGACAGAGUAGCAGCAAGAAUUCCUACAUGGAAAUCAGGUCUCCUCAAUCAUGCAGGAAGGACUGUCCUUGCCAAAGUGACUUUAUCUGCAAUCCCUGUCCACAUUAGUAUUGCCUGCUGCUUGUCAAAUUUGGCAAUCGCACAGAUUGACAAGCGACGCAGGGCCUUCCUAUGGGCUGGGGCUGAGUCGGUAGUUGCAGGGCACUGCAAGGUGGCCUGGCCAACUGUUUGUAGGUGUUGACACCGUUUUUGGACAAGUAUCUUUGGACGCGUAUCUAGAGUUAAUGAGGUGUAGAUCGGUAGGCAGAAAAGUGGUGACUAGUCUACAGAAGAGUUGCCGAUGAGGGUUGGUGCCGAAGAGAAAACGAUGGGAUUUGGCCAAGUCUAGGAGUGGUGAUAGAUUCGUGCCGAUGACUAGUGCUGAUGGUUGCCGAUGGCUAUGAGAGGUGGUUUGCCGAUGGUCAUGGAGAAGGGCGCAGGGGUUGUCGAUCGACUCAUGGUGGUGUAUCGAUCGGUUGUGGAAGAUGAUUUAAUGUUUUCCAUAGUUAUUAGAGUUUGUUUUGUAUACGGAUUCUGUUUAAUUUAGAAUUCGAGUCCUGGUCGUGUCUGAUUGUAACCCUUUUUUGGGCAGGGUAUAAAUAUAAGACCCCGUAGCGAUGUAAGAGACACAAUCAAUCAAACAUAAGUUUUUACACAUAUUCUAGCAUCUACUUUUUCGACGACUUCAUCACCCUACAUAUUUUUCCUUUUACUUACGAGUUCUUAGGGAUUCUUUGAGUCAACCUCGAUGAGUUCUUGAGUUCCGCAUGAAUACCUCUUAGCCGUGACAUCUGGGUGCAUCGCUGUUGUCAGGACCAAAGUGUUCGAGUUACCACCUUUGUCAAUUGUAAGGUCAAAUCGGUUGGCACGCCUUAACAUCAAAUCGGGUAUUAGCCCUUUGUGUUUGCAGAUCUACUUUUGCAUCAACACAUCUUUUGGCACGCCCGGUGGGAUAGAGAUUCAACAUCAAGAUCAACAUGUCGAACACCGAUUUCGACUUGAAGAACGUCAUCCCCGUGACAGAAGCCAAUCUCAGAGAUGAACAGAAGCAAGCUAUGGCAAAAGCUAUGGAGGACUACAAGCAGCUAUGCUUAAAAUCCUUCAGUAUCAACAGGAGUGGCGAGGUGAUCCAAAAGGAAGCAUUGCUGAUGCCUCGGCAAAUCACUUUUGAAGCCAAUCCUGGUAAACUACAAGAGAUGGUUGACAAUGCUAUUAAUCAUGUUCUAAUCAAUCAAUCUAGUGUGUUGUCCAAUACAGUUUUCAAUGCUGUGGCUAGAACUUUCAAAGAAGGACAAGUACCGCCAUCUUAUGUGGGCCCAGCCUAUCAUGAGCCAAGGGCAUCAUCGGUUACAGCUCUAUCGGCUACUACGGCCGUUGCGGGUACAAAAGUUACUUCUCCUCCAAGCACAUUAGGGAUAACUAAUGCGCAAUCUACACUGAUGACGACCAAUCCAUCAACAUCAGAGGGACAAGUCAAACAUGCUACAGAUUUAUUGGCAUCAGCAAUGUCAGGGUCUGUUCCUCCCAAUUGGUGGGGAUAUGGUAUGCCCCUAGAGUUUAUGGCAAAUAGCUCUGGGACGUCUCAAGCGGCUAACAUGACAGGCAAGGCUCCUAUGGCAUCGGCACCCCAGGCUCGCCGAUGACUCAGAAUCCCCAGUAUUCUACAACUACUACUGCAAGACCUUUUACUGGGAAUUCUCAAAUGCCAACGUUCCAGAUGCCUAACGCAUCGGAAGAUUCAAUGCCGACGCAGCAAAGGUUUACAACACAGCCAGGGUAUGCCAAUUCAAUGAUAAUGCCCAAUUAUCAGCCAUCGGCAGGACCUACACCGAUGAAUGUCAAUAAUGGAUGGACAGGGCAGUUUGUCUUUCCACAAAUACCUCAGCAGAAUCAUCAGGCUAUGGGAUUUCAACAGGACCAGUGCAACCUAGAUUUCAGAAUCAAGGGUUGAUCAAUCAGCCGAUGAAUCUUGGUCAGCAAGUUGGCGGCCAACAUGCGGUGGCAAAUCCUAUGUUCCCUGGAGAUCGUGCACCGCAGAGACACGUGGAAGCUUAUCAGCAUAUGUCAGAUCCACAACCAGCUCAUCGGCAAGAUGCCGAUGCUUACUGGGCUGAUAAGAUAGCUGAGGUGAUGAGAGACCAAUUUGGGAUAAAACCCAAAGUCAACACAUACUCUUAUCGGACACCGUAUCCUCCUGCAUAUGACCUAAUUCCACUUCCAAAUCGGUACAAGGUGCCGGAAUUCACCAAGUUUUUGGGACAGGAUGAUACAUCAACCAUGGAGCAUGUUAACAGGUUCAUCAUCUAGUGUGGGGAAGCUGCUAACAGAGAUGAGUUAAGGGUUCGUCUAUUUUCAUCAUCUUUGUCUGGAUCGGCCUUUACUUGGUUUAUUUCAUUACCUCCAAACUCAGUAAUCAACUGGGCCGAUCUAGAAAAAUAGUUCCAUAAAUACUUCUUUUCUGGAGUACAUGAGAAGAAGAUUACCGAUUUAGUCAGGCUAAGGCAGCGCAACGAUGAAUCGGUUGAAAGCUUUGUACAAAGGUUGCGAGAUGUUAAGAAUAAAUGUUAUAGUCUGGUUCUAGAUGAUUGGCAGCUUGCCGAUUUGGCUUUUCAAGGAUUGUUGCCACACAUUAAAGACAAGUAUGCUUCUCAAGAGUUUGAAAGUCUGAGCCAUUUAGUGCAGAGGAUUUCAGACCAAGAUAUCAGAGCUUUUGAACCUAAGAGAGCAUGAAACAAAAAGGUGUCAUUUGUCGAUGAGGCAACAACCUCAAACUCUGAUGAAGAACCAGUCAUCGGCUUGGCAGAGUGGGUAAAGAAUAAGAAGCCGAUGUCUUGCCCUUUUGAGCAUAAAGAACGAGAAAAGUUUGCAUUUGAUAUCACCAAGGCCGAUAGGAUAUUUGAUUUUCUGCUUCAGGAGGGGCAAAUUAAGUUAUCACCCAAUCAUGUGAUUCCAUCGGCAGAGGAAUUAAAGAAGAUUAAGUACUGCAAGUGGCAUAAUGCAACAUCCCACAGUACAAAUGAGUGCAAGGUUUUCAGGCAACAGCUACAAUCGGCUAUAGAGUCUGGGAGAAUUAAGUUCAAUAGCUCCAAAGCUCAAAAACUGAUGAAGAUCGAUCAACAUCCUUUCCCUACAAAUAUGUUGGAUGCUAAGGGAAAAACCAAAGUAUUGACUGGCAGCUAAAAGAAGCGCAUCGGUGGAUCUCAACAUCAAAUUACUGCCGAUGAUGCCAAAGGCAAGGGUUUGAUCCAAGAAGGAACCAGCUCAGGAAGGCCUCCCCGAUCUGGCAUUGUGAUCACUCAUAGAAGGCACCGAGAAACCUGGCAGCAGCAUGAAGAUCGGUAUCGGCGCCAACAAGGGUAUCGUCGUCGGGAAGAAGAAAUACACCGAUAAGAGUGGAAUCGGCAUAAAGAUCAUUGGAAUUGCCCGUUCUUCAUCCACUGUUGGGAACAAAACAUCAAGCUACCAACUGUUAGAGACUGCCCUGAGUGUAAUGGCUAUAAUCAGUAUGAUAGACCAAAUCGGCAGUAUCAGAACAAUGAUCGGCGUUUUGGUGGGCCAAUUAGAGAAAGGACAUCGGUUCAUGAUCGACUGGGGGGCAGACUCAGUGUGCACGAUAGGCUUGGUGAACGUAUUGGCUAUUUUCCAAGAAGCCAAGAAGAGCUUGAGGAGAUGGCAGAUGCACGAGUUCCUGAUGAAUUCAUAUUCUGUAGGGAUGCCAAUACAUAUCGAGUAGAAUCAAGGGAAAAUCGUCACCAGUCGGUGAAGCAGACACAACUUCCUCCAUGGUGUCCAGAGGGGUUGACAAGGACACAGAAAAGAAGGCUGCAGCAGGAGCGACAAGAAGAACUGAGUAAAGGAGAGAAUUUUGCUAAGACUGGAGAUCGGCAGCAGUCAGAUCCUAAAGGAAAAGGUCCAUCGGCAGACGUUAAUAUGGUGUUUACGUUGCCGAUGGAAUUCCUUGCACCUUUUAGUGAUGAUGAGGAGGAAAAUUUUCUCGAACAGAUAGCUCAGUUGGCUCUAGAUCCGAUGACGGCUACUUUUGAAAAGCCCGCCGAUAAUGAGAGACAACACCUUAAAGCUCUGUUCGUCAAAGGUAGGGUUGAUGGACAGCCGAUGACCAAGAUACUUGUUGAUGUUGGGCUGCUAUCAAUAUUAUGCCGUAUGCAGUUUAUCGGAAACUUGGAAAAGGAGAUCAGGAUUUGACCAAGACCGAUAUGAUGUUAAAGGAUUUUGAAGGAAAUGUGACUUCAGUCAAGGGAUUUAGGGUUUAGGGUUUAGGGUUUAUGGUGUUGAGUUGACCAUCGGCAGCAAAACCUUGCCGACAACUUUCUUCGUCAUCAGUGGAAAGGGUGCUUAUAAUCUACUAUUGGGGAGAGAUUGGAUCCAUGCCAAUUGUUGCAUCCCAUCUACGAUGCACCAAUGUUUGGUUCAGUGGGUAGGUGACAAGAUUGAAAUUGUCCCAGGAGAUUCUUCAUAUGUCAUCGCAUCGGUAGAGGCAGAUACUUAUGAAAGGACCAGAUGCAUUUCAGGGGAGAUUUGGGAAAAGGAUUUUCUCCAAGUUGCCAAUUAUGAAAUUCCAACGAUCCAAGCAGUCGGUUCUGAUGAGGAGACUUAAUGGAUAGGUUUGCCGAUGAUGGAAAAUUAGGCCAGGGGUUUACAUCGGCCGAUGAUUUAGUAGAAGUAGAUAUAGGUAAUGGUGAUAAGCUAAGGCCUACUUUUAUUAGUGCUAAGUUAGAUUCCGAGUGUAAGCAGUAGUUAACCAAUUUGUUAAAGGAAUACAAAGAUUGCUUUGCUUGGGAUUAUACCGAGAUACCUGGUUUAGACCGAUCUAUUGUUGAACAUCGGUUACCUAUCAAAUCUAGAUUUCGGCCGCAUCAGCAGCCAGCUCGCUGAUGUAAUCCUAAUAUUCUUCCUGAUAUUAAGGCCGAAACAACUAAAAUUAUUGAAGCUAAAUUUAUUCGACAAUGUCGAUAUGCCGAGUGAAUUUCCAAUGUUGUUCCAGUUUACAAGAAGAAUGGGAAGCUUCAUGUCUGCAUUGACUUUAGGAAUCUUAACAAGGCUAUGCCGAUGGAUGGUUAUCCAAUGCCAGUUGCCGAUUUACUAGUUGAUGCUGCAGCCAGACAUCGGAUCAUUAGCUUUAUGGACGGCAAUGCAGGAUAUAAUCAAAUAUUCAUGGCCAAACAAGAUAUUCCAAAGACUGCAUUUAGAUGUCCUGGUCAUGUUGGGUUAUUCGAAUGGAUAGUCAUGACCUUUGGCUUGAAAAAUGCUGGUGCUACUUAUUAGAGGGCUAUGAAUUUUAUCUUUCAUGAAUUCAUCAGCAAGCGUUUGGAAAUCUAUAUUGAUGACGUGGUGGUUAAGUCUGGAGAUUUUGCAAAGCAUCUUGCCAUUCUUCGAAAGGUGUUGGAGUGCACAAGGAAACAUGGUUUAAAGAUGAAUCAUAAUAAGUGUGCAUUUGGUGUAUCGGUAGGACAAUUUCUUGAUUUCAUGGUGCAUCAGAAAAGAAUUGAAAUUAGUAGGAGGUCUAUUGAUGCUAUCAGCAAAACAGUUGCUCCCACCAACAAAACUGAACUCCAAUCUCUGAUCGGCAAGAUAAAUUUUAUCAGGUGAUUUAUAUCUAACUUGUAUGGUAAGAUUCGUGCUUUUAGUCCUUUACUUAAGUUGAAAGCCGAUCAAGAGUUUGUGUGGGGAAGAGAGCAACAGUCAGCAUUGGAUGAAAUCAAGAAUUAUUUGACAAAUCCUCCAGUUCUGAUUCCAUCUCAGCAAGGAAAACCUUUCAAAUUGUAUUUAUCUGACAAUGGGAUGGUCAUUGGUUCGGCUCUAAUUCAAGAAUUUGAAGGGAAGGAACGUGUGAUUUAUUAUUUAAGUAGAAGACUAGUUGAUGCUGAGACAAGGUAUUCGACAAUUGAAAAAAUAUGUUUAUGCUUAUACUUUUCAUGUAUUAAGUUGAGAUACUAUUUGCUAUCAGCCGAAUGCACCGUUAUAUGCAAAGAUGAUGUAGUCCGGUACAUGCUAUCUAUGCCAAUUAUGAGUGGUAGAAUCGGCAAAUGGAUUUUGGCGCUGCCGGAAUUUGAUCUACGUUACGAAUCGGCUAAGGCGGUUAAAGGGUAUAUUAUGGCCGAUUUUGUGACUCAGCAUUGUGGUGAAGUAGGGACUUUGGAGAUUGUUCCUUGGAUGCUCUUCUUUGAUGGAUCCACGUGUGACCGGGGGGCAGGAAUUGGUAUAGUAUUAAUUUCUCCUCGAGGAAAGAAGUAUGAGUUCUCUUUACCGAUUGUUGCCACGUCAACGAAUAAUCAAGCUGAAUAUCAGGCUCUGAUCAAAGGGUUGGAAUUGCUAAAAGAGGUUCAUGCCGAUGAUGUUGAGAUCUUCGGCGAUUCUAUGCUUGUUAUAAAUCAAUUGGCUGGGAUUUAUGAAUGCCGAAGCGAGGUCUUGAUAACCUAUUAUGAAAAGAGUAUGCAACUGUUAAGGGAAUUCAAGAAUUUCCGAUUGGAGCACGUUCCUCGAUUACAUAAUAAAGAGGCUAAUCGGUUAGCUCAACAUGCCUCGGGGUAUCAACCUAUCUUAAAUAUGUUAUCGGCAAUCAGUACCGAUGAUUGGAGAAAAGAAAUCAUUGAUUACUUAAAGGAUCCAUCUAAAAAGGUUGAGAGGUGUGUCAGGUUUCAAGCUACUGAGUAUGUACUCCUUGGAGAAGAGUUAUAUUAUCGGACGAUAGAUGAAGUUCUACUCAAAUGCUUGGGUGAUGAUGGGGCUAAAAACUUAAUGGGUGAGAUCCAUGAAGGAGUAUGUGGAGCACAUCAAUCGGCUUUUAAAAUGAAAUGGAUGAUUAGGAGAAACGGAUAUUAUUGGCCAACUAUACUUGAGGAUUGCUUUAAAUAUUUCAAAGGUUUUCAAGGAUGUCAGAGGUUUGGUAAUAUUCAAAGGGCAUCCGCAUCGGCCAUGAAUCCUAUUAUUAAGCCUUGGCUGUUCCGGGGGUGGGCUAUUGAUCUAAUCAGCCAGAUCUAUCCGCCAUCAAGCAAGGGGCAUAAGUUCAUCUUAGUUGCCACUGACUAUUUUACUAAGUGGGUUGAAGCUAUUCCUUUGAAGAAAGUAACAUCGGCUAACAUGAUUGAUUUUGUGAAAGAGCAUAGUGUUUACCGAUUUGGUAUUCCUCAAACAAUCACUACCGAUCAAGGUACUAUGUUCACAUCGGGGGAGUUUGAUGAAUUUGCAAUCGGUAUGGGGUUAAAGUGUUGAAUUCUUCUCCUUAUUAUGGUCAAGCCAAUGGACAAGCUGAAGCAUCUAACAAAUGAAUUAUUAAGCUCAUCAAACGAAAGAUUGAAGAAAAUCCUAGAAGAUGACAUACAUUGUUGAAUGAAGCUUUGUGGUCAUAUCGAAUGACAUGUCAUGGAUCGACCAAAGUUUCACCUUAUCAGUUAGUAUAUGGACACGAUGUAGUGCUACCGUUGGAAAUGAAGACUGGAUCUAGGAGGAUAUCUUUUCAAAAUCAACUGGCUGCCGAUGACUAUGCUACUUUGAUGAGAGAUGAGUUAGACGACUUGGCAGGGCAUCGGCUGAAAGCUUUGAUGAGUAUAGAAGAAAAUAAAAAGAGAGUUGCUAGGUGGUAUGAUAAAAAGGUGAAAGCUAAGGAGUUUUCCAAUGGAGAUUUGGAAUGGAAAUUAAUUUUACGAAUUGGGACUAAAUGUUCAAAGUUUGGCAAAUGGUCUCAUAAUUGGGGGGGUCCUUAUCGGAUAAAUCGGUCUGCUCCUGGUAAUGCUUAUUUUGGAGACUCUCAAAGGAGUUGAAUUUCCCAGAGCAUUGAAUGGAAAAUAUCUAAAGAGGUAUUACCCAAGCAUCUGGGUCGAUGCAUAAAAUUUUAAGUGCCGAUAACACUCCUAUCGGCUGGGUAAAAUUUAUCUGGGGCUGUGCAUAAUGUUUUAAAAGGUGCCAAUAACAGUCCUAUCGGCUAGACUGGAAUGAUGAGAAGUCUCUAAGAGCAGGACGAAACAAGCCGCCGAUGAAGAGCUUACAGAUUAAGCAAAGCUUGAAUGGCCGAUAUGGCGCGUAGGCGAAUCUGGUCAGCUUCUUCUAUCUCUCGGAUGUCUUCAUCGGCAGAACCCUCUACUGGCUUCAGCUUCUUCUUCAUCUGCAAUGCCUUACGGGCAUGGAUGUUCCGUUCUUGUUGGAGAGUUUUGAUCAUCUCAGGCAGCUGGCUUUCUUCUUGCUGAGCUUGAGUUAAGGCUUCUUCCACUUGUUUGAGCUCGGCUAGCAGGGUUUCUUUCUUGCCGAUAGAUCAGAAAUCUUCUCUUUCAGCGUUUCCUCUGAAGACUGCAGAAUGCCGAUGCUCUUGUGUUUCUCAUCGGCAAGGCGCUUUACUUGCAUUACUUCCUCUAUGAAUUGGACGUGAGCAGCUCUAUCGGCAAGACAUUGGGUGGCUUUCUGAUACUGAAGCUGGCGGCUUUCCAAGUGUGCAGCUUGAAACAAGAUUUCUUCUGCAUCGGCUGGGAUCUGGCCCCAAAGGGCUUUAAAUAGAGCUUUGGCUGGAUCGGAGUCAUCAACCAACUGAGCAGUAUCUUGAUGCAGCAGGGCCAACAGGUCUUCCAGCUUGAUUUUGAUUUCUGCCAAUGAGACCCCUACUGCUUGGGAGGAGCUCGCUUCUUCACCUUCAUCAUCAGAAAUAUCAAUAGCAAAGGAGAAUAAGCUGUCUAGAGAGUCUUGUUCCUAAAAAGGGAGCAGAGAUAAGUUGUCUGGUAGUCGGAUGUUGAAAAUAAAAAAAUGGAGACCAGGGACUUACUUGUUUCAGUUUCGCGCUUUUGAUGAAGGGAUGCGGUCGGUGCUAUAGGUUGAUCGGCUGGAGUUGUCGAUGGAACGAUAUCAACUGAGAAAUAACAAGGGCAAUAAUUUAAAAGGAAGAAAAUAUAUCCAUCGGUGAUAAUUUUUAUGGUCAGUACUUUACCUUGAGUUGGUGCGGUGCUUGUUUGUUCUGGAGGAAUAACCGAUGAUAUGAUCAGAUCCGCUGGAUCGGCAGUCUGCUCAAGUACAUAGGCUGGUGCUUCUUGUGGUUGAGGUGCUGGUUGAGGAGGAGACGACGCUUGCUGUGUCUCAAUUUCUGGUGAAGAGGGGGACAAUUCCACAUGAAUCGGCGACACUGGACGAGGGGGAGAAGAUGGUGCUAUUUUCUGACGCUUUGGUUGUGAUUUGGUACUCUUGGGACCUUUCCUCUUGACUUGGCCAGGCUGGGGGGCAUCGGCACUUGUUUGAGCACUUCUGGUUCUUGCCGAUUUGCCAGUCUGCUGAUGCAAUAACAAAAGUUUCGUGAGUACAAAUGUAACAGAAUAUUGAUGAAAUUUUGUUGAACAGUGAAAGUUACCAAUGAAGUUCCCAUAGCAGCCGAUGUAUCCUAAAAAGAUUUUGUAAGUAUAGAAUGGAAUCGGUAUAAAUUGAGGAAAUAAAAAAUCUACCUUGAAAGCUUGUGCCGAGGUAGCAGCGGCAACCGUUGGAGACGUCUUUGACCGCCUGGUGGUUAUCUUCUUAAAACGCACAUUCCGGUGCAUUAGAGCUGCCAGGCUUGGUGCGUUGUUGCCGAUCAGAGAAAUUGGACCUGACGGGAGGAGUUCAAUCGGCUUUCCACUUCUGCUGACUGUUGGUGGCAAGUUGUCGACCUGUUUGAAAAAGAGAAAGUGAGUUACUGAUAAGGGUAAAAGUAACAAAAGAAUUGAGGUAUCGGUUGGGAACUUACAUUGUUUUUGGGAACCUUAUACUUGCGGUCGAUCAUGCCGCGGUAUGUCACAGCCGAUGUGCAGAAUAGGUGUUCCUUCCACUCUUCCCACCACUGCUUGUACAUCUGAGUGAUGAAAAGGGCUGGGAUCCAUGCCGAUAAAUCAAUGUCCAACGUAUCGGCAUUUCGCUGAAGCUGAGCUAUUCUUAUCCACUCAAGACCGCUGGUUAUAGUCUCCGUUGGCUUCACCACAUCGGCAUAACAGAGUCCAAUCGGUAGCUGUCCAAAAGCCAGUUGACGAGCCAGUGCCGAUGGGUUAUAGAAUUCAUAGGUGGGGUUGGAAGUCUUCCCACUGCCAAAGAAAUUCACUAGUAUGGUUUUUGGAGUAAUAAUUGCCAUCAUCAGGUCAUGGUCCUUAUUGAGGGCGUCAUCAAAAGGGUGCAAAGUGAGCGGGAGUCUGGUUUCUGUGUCCUCAUAAGGCAUCCAUGCCCGCUGAUCUUUGGCACGACCCUCAUAGAGAGUUUGGAAGAAUCGGCUGACCUGGUCUUCGUUGCCACCAGUACCAGGUAAAACUAUGGUAGCCUCACCAUAGUUCAAAGAUGGGCGAGUUGCCGAUUCUUCAUCAGCCAAUUCAUGAUCUUCGGCGAUAUCUCUGGGAAAGCGUUGUGCGAAGAGGUCAAAUCCAAGGCGUUUGUGCAUGUGAACACUGAGCCACAUGUUGAUGAACCACCAAGGUCCUCCUAAAUUGCCGAUGGGUUGGCCUAACAAAAGCUUCUCGGCUACUUGAUGAAGGAGACGAUAAACAGAGCCUAACAAGUAUCGGCCAAGGGGAAAAUGACCACCGCUGGCUAGUUUCUCUGCUGCUGAUAGAUAAACAGAAGUUGGUCCUGCCGAUCGGCCGCAAAAUGCAAAUUUAUCUAGCCACAUAUUCAGAAAGAUAGCGUGUUCCCUUUGCCCAACUGGUCCUGUUUUUCGGUACUUCUGAAUGUACCCUGACCAGCCGCUGAUGCUACGAGUUUCCACCUUACGUUCAGGCUUACUAUCGAACAGGUGACUAUCAUCGGCAGUUGUGAUUUCCAGACCAGUGAGCAUAAGUACAUUGGCAAGGGUAGGAGAAGCAGGGCCAUGGCCGAAUACGAAAGCAUUAAGGGUGUCUGACCAGAAGUACGAAGCUGCUAUCAAUAGUGAUUCGUUUCUUUCCAUAUCGGCAGUGGAUAGCCCAAUGCACUGGUCUAGUUUGCGCUCACCCCAUUGAACCUCAUUCGAGUUGCCGAUUCUCAAGAACCAAUCUUUCCACCCCUUGGUAGAACUGUGCCAGGAACGAAAAGUGUCUUUCCACAGAUCUAAAGAGAAGUUCUCAGCUCUAAAGGGGAUCCUAUUUGUCUCUGCAUUUAUCAAAUCGGAAGGAUCUAGGUUUCCCAAUGGACCAAGGCAUUGGAAGUGGGGUUGAUCGGUGGGAAUAACAAUUUUCUCGGCUAACUCCUAUAGGUUUGAAGGUUGAAAAGACAGGGAAAAGAAAGAGAGAAAAUACCAAGUAAAUAAUUGUGUGAAAGAUCAAGAAUAUGGUAAAAAGAAGAAAGGGGAUGUUGAGUUGACCUCAGGGACGACGAAGUUGAUGGCCAUUUCUUCCCGAAAGGAGGAAAGGAUCGAAGACUCAGAAGAUUGUUGGAGGAGAUCCUUGCCGGAGUUCUUGAAGUUCUCGAACAGUGCCGCCGCCAGGAAGGUGGGUUUGAGGCUGUAGAAUGACAAGAUGGAGGAAGUGUGGGGGUAUAAACCCCUAUACCCUUACGGCUAGACUUCGGCCAGGAGGCUUGGCCCAUUACGAAACAAGUUCGAGGCUUGAUCCGAUCGCUUGGAGUUUCGUGCAAGGAAACAAGAUGUGGAGAUCAAGCAGGAUUCUAGUCGGUUAGAAUAGGAAUUGAUAUCGAGCUAUCUUUGGCAAUUGUAACCGACUAGGAUUAGUUUCUAGAUCUGUAACCCUGCCCUCCGGACUAUAUAAGGAGGGGCAAGGGACCCCCCAUGGGACAUGUUAUUCUCUCAAUCCAAUACAAUCAGACGCAGGACGUAGGUAUUACGCCCACACGGCGGCUGAACCUGGAUAAAAAGCUUGUUCGUGUCUUGCGUCACCAUCGAGUUCGUAGUUUGCGCACCGUCUACUGAUAAACUACUACCGUGGGUAUACCCCAAGGUAGACUGCCAACAAGCUUUCGUCGACAGUGGCGCGCCAGGUAGGGGGUGUGCGUACAGCUUUUUUUGGCGAACAAGAUGGUCAUCGUUCCAGCUUCCGCGGCCGUGCCUAAAGGCCUCACGUUCACCGUCAGCCAGAUUACGUGGACAACUCGCGGCGGUGGCCUCAUGACCACGAUUUCAGAAGAAACCCAGAUCCAAUCUGGGAUGACUAUAGCAUCGGCUCCGACCACGCGGACACUGGCACCGAGCACCCGACCACAGCUUCCGCACUACAAGGGAAAGAAGAUCGAUGGCUCGGACCUUCUCCGAGCCCUUGACCGCGCUGAUCUCAAGCUUCUCGAAGCUUCCCGACUAGUAGAUGGGAUCUCGCGUCAGCCUGAUCAAGCCGCGCCAACAGAUUUUUUCAACUCCUACCGGCCAACUCGUGUCAUCACACACGAACGGCUGGGAACGUCUCUGACGAUAACCUCCAGCCCCUCAGGACGGUCCGUCAAACUCGAGGCUAAUCCAGAACAAGAUUAUCCUUACGGUCUGAAUAACUCGGCCGUUCUCUACUCGCGGCACAUCCAAUCCCUUUUUGACGAGGCUGGUUGGUUGCCAAAAUGGAGCGGUCGACCAGCUCGUCACUACGUCAACAUGGUGACGAUCCGAGAACUACGGGACGGCCAGGCUUCCAGCACAAACUCCAGCACUGGGUCCGUUCCCACUGAAGUCAUAAACUCCGAGGACGAGGACUACGACCUGGAUUUACCACCAUAUCCUCCGGGUUUCUCUCGCUUUCCGGUCUUUCCACCCCGGCGAGGAGACCUCGUCUUCAAUGUCUGCGCCGACGAGCCGGUCGUUGAUGGAGAAACAGAUGAGCAGAGGCAGCUCCGCGAGCAGCGCAAUGCCGACCGCGCCCGACGACGCGCGGACGAGGAGUGCCAACUCCCGCCGCAUAAUCUCACCGACGCUUUCGACAUGGUCGGGGAUCAGCCAGGAAGUAAAUCAGCACAGGGAUCUUCGAUACAACAUCCCUCCCAAAGACGCCCGGGACCGCAUCAACAGGCGCGCCACAGAGAGAGCAGUUCACGAAAACCUGCGUCGUAUUGAGUACGAUGCAACGCACGGCCCCCCGGGCCUGAGACAGUUCUCCUCACACCUCCGCCAGGUCGUGUGGCCCCGAAACUUCAAGCUCGAGAAGCUCAAGAAAUACGACGGCAAGGAAAACCCAGAAAACUGGAUCACUAUCUAUGAGAUCGCAGUUCAUUCAGCAGCAGGAGACGAGCACGUCAUGGCUAACUACUUCCCGGUCAUCCUCGAUCAGGCCGGUCAUCAAUGGCUCCUGGGCCUGCCCGAGGACUCUUUUGACUCUUGGGAAGAACUCCGCCAAGCGUUCAUCGACAACUUCAUCACUACCUGCGAGUAGCCCGGGAACAAGUACGACCUCGAGAGGAUAAAGGACAGGAAAAACGAGCCUCUGCGCGACUACAUCCGACGGUUCUCGGAUAUGUGCCUCAAAAUCCUGAAAAUUUCCCACGACGAGGCCAUAUCUGCUUUCAUCAAAGGGCUACGCUUCCACGAAGCACUGAGGAACAAGCUACUACGCAAAAGGCCAACGACGAUGGCUGAACUCCUUGCCACGGCCAAAAAUUAUGCCGACGCCGACGAUGCAGAAAAACUCAUCUGGGACGACACAAGAGGUCCCGACCAGCUUCCUCGACGAGACGACAGUCGUGGUCGUUUCGACAACAGGAAUCAUCGUCGCCCCGACGGCCGCGAUCACAGAGAAGGUUGGGAUAGGCGGCGUGACAAUCGUGAUGACUUCAGAGGCAAGCGCCCUCGUGACCACGACCAAGAGGUGAAUACGGUCAAGCGUCCCAACGGGCGGCGAGACUACCAGGAAGACUACAACAAGACAUUGAAGGGACCAUGCCAACUACAUCCAAAAUCCAACCACACGAUGGAGGAAUGUUGUGUCCUCAAAAGCAUCUACACGCAGCGGGCUGCUCAAGACGACCCCGCCAAGAAAAACGGGAAACAGGACGGGCGCGAUCACGAAGACGAGGACGAGGACCAGGAUAGGGACCCACGACACCAGUAUGUCAGUCCACCCGACGUGGUCCACUCCAUCUUCAGGGGCAAGGUCUCCAUCGAGUCUAAGCGAGAAAGAAAGCUCUUAAAGAGAGCCUGCCUCUACAUAGACAGCACGGACGGCCUGAUCGCCGACCUGAAAUUCCCUCCCUGGUCGCACAGGGAGAUCUCCUUCAGCAGGAAGGAUCAGUGGGCCGCCAUCCCGAAACCAGGACGCUUCCCUCUAAUAUUGGAUCCCUGCAUCAACAGCAUCAGAUUUGAGCGCGUACUCGUCGACGGGGGAAGCUCCAUUGACAUCCUCUUCCGCAAUAGCUUGCCUGCUCUCAAGAUAACCCUGGCACAGCUAAAGCCCUACGACGCUCAAUUCUGGGGAGUCUUACCAGGUCAAAGUUCAGUACCCCUCGGACAGAUAACGCUGCCUGUCUAGUUCGAAACAUCCGACCACUUUCGAAUAGAGUUCGUCAACUUUGUGGUCGCCGACUUUGAUGGAACUUACCACGCUAUACUGGGCUAACCAUCGCUGACAAAGUUCAUGGCAGUUCCACAUUACUCAUACCUGGUCCUCAAAAUGCCUACAGAAAAGGGCGUCCUAACUGUUCGAGGCAAUGUCUACACCGCAUACACCUGCGAGGAGGAGAGCUUCAAGAUCACCGAAGCAAUUGAUCUUUCAAUCCGCAUGGUAGAAACUGUAGCCCAAGUCGCACAGCUGUUGGGUAUUUUAAACGCAAACAGAAAAAUCCGCAAGCGCACGGAUACCGAUGUAGCCUUCACCCAGGAGUAUUCCAGAGUAUCGAUUUUCCACAGAGAACGUGAGUGUACUAAUUAAGAUCCAAGAUCGCCCAAGGAUAACUAUAUAAUUAUUUUUGGUGGGAAGAGAGGAAGUUUCCUGAGAGUUCUCUAGUUGAUCUAAGAAUCAAGAAUUACUUCAAAAUUAUCUAUAUCGGGACAUCAGAGCACUAACCACAGAAAGAGAUGAGAAGGGGGCUAGGAAGGUCUGACUACGGUCCUACAAACACCGAUCCGAAUGUGGUGGAAUACGUCGACCGUUAGGGCUGUCACUACCCUAAGGCUACCACAACAAUCCGCAGGAUUGGGUGCAAUUCCAGGUAAUCGCAAGACUAAACACCACAUCUAAUCUAUUAAUUACUACUCUAGUGUUAUAAAGACUAGAGCACUUGAUGCAAGCAGGAAUCCAAUAAAUAACUUGAAUGUAAAUAAAAGUAAUUAAAGAACUCAGGAAUUAUGAAUUGAAGAACCUGGAGAAUGAUGAAGAACGAACCAGUUGCUGCAAAAGUACAAUGUUGAGGAAGAUCCGACAGAUCUGGCUCCUCCUCCGCUCUCCUCUUCUCUCUCCCUAUUUUCUAGAUUACAACUAGAACUAACUAGAACUAGAACUAGAGGAACUAGAACUAGAACUAGAUGAACUAGAACUAGAUCUAGAUGAACUAGAGGUAGAACUAGAGGGAUCCUCUCUACUUGGAUGAAGAAUUAAAAUCCUAGCUUUGAUUCUGUAGAAGAGGUAUGCUCUCCAGGGGCCAGAGGGCCUUGCUUAUAUAGUCUUUUCAGAUGAAUCUGGGCCGUCGGAUCAAACCGACAUUAAUCACAUGGUUUCCCUUGGUCCCUUAGGUCGGUGGAGCACGAUCUGCGAAGUUGAAGCUGAUUAGUUACUGUAGCUUGGCGGGCACCCAAGGGACUUGGGCGGGCGCCCUGCUCCCGGGCCCGAUCGGCCUCCCGUUCGUUCCCGUGGCUUCUAGAGUCUUCUAGAUGAUAGAAAAUUGUGCGGCACGUUAAUAUCUCUAUGUAAACCCGACGUGUGGGCUUUUCUUCCGUAUUUCCUGAUAACCCCCUGCAGAAAUAGACAAACACCAAAACUCGUGGAAUUCUGUCAGAUAAAACCCUAAGUCGAGGUGUUGGCUGCAUAUAAGUCUUUUUCCAUGAUUAGUUGAUGGUUAAAUGUGAGCAUUAAGGACCAUCAACAAGCUCCCCCAAUCUUAACCUUUGCUCGUCCCUGAGCAAAGAUGAACUCAAGAAUUUCUGCAGUGGUUUCAAUAAAUGCGUUCAAACAAGAUCUCAUCUCUGGGUUAGGGUAAACUGUUAAGAUUUAAAACUUACUUGUUUUACCUUUUACCAUGGCACUUGUAACCGUCACCUCUGUCUUGAGCAGUUAAAAGAUAGAACGGUCUAGUCAAGCACCAUGUCUCUUGUUCUUCGAUUAACUAUAGCUCUGGAGUUUUUGCAGAUUUUCAAAUAAAACUCAGAGAUUCCUUGUAUAACUGUCUCUAGUCUCUCUUUUGUGGUAUUUCUAGAUCCUUACCAAGGCAGUAAUGGUGUAUGUCUUCUCUCAAAGUAUGUGGUAUUUUUGGUAUGAGGCAUACUGGCAUUGCCUUCUCUCUCACCCUACUCUAAUAAGGUUUUGAUAUCUGGAGCUCAUAGGUGGGAGACAGCUAAUACAUACUUAUAAGACAUUUAUUGCAUAGUCAAACCAUGGAUCCAGAAGAACAAGUCAAUAAGCCAAAUCAAGACGUGCAUGUGUGGCGAAUGAAUGGUGCAUGGUAAUGAUGGUGAUAACAAUGGUAAAAGUCUAAUUCUACUUGUGCUCUUUUGAUGGGAUACAUACCUUUCUUGCUCUUUUGAAACUUUUUGAGGAGAAUGAGAUGCUCUAUAUUUUUGUUUUUCUUUUCUCUCAGGUGGGUAUCUUGUACCCCUAAUUCUACUGUCGGACACUUGUCCAUUUUUACCUCUCGUCUCACUUUUUCUUUUCUUUCGAGGUUCCGGGCACUUGCCCCUUUUUAUUUCCUCGUAUCUUUUUUUCUUCUUUUUUUAGAGCACUCAUCUCUUGAAAUAAUGUAGCAAGUGGCAGUAACCAAGAUAACUUGAGCAUUUAUUUCACAGGGGAAAACAGAAAUGUUUUUGGCUAUUCUCUCCCGGAUUAGGAGUAGAAUAUUUUUAGGUGAUUCUGGAGAUGGAAAUGGAUGGAUAUAUGUGGAUGCGUACUUCCGGAGUAGAAGCAGCAUGUAUGAGUGAACGUGCAAGUGAAUCUUGAUUUUAACCACAUGACAAGCUCCUAAGGGUCUACACAGCUUGACCAUACUCAAUGCUCAUAAGCAGUAAAAAGUAAGUGUGUGGUUCAUAGUCUAGCAAGCAUGUAUAUAUGGCUGUGAUAGGAAUUUAAACUCUCAUCAUACAGGAACUCAUCAUGCAACAUUUUAAAGAUUUUCAAAGAUAAAAUUCUCCAGAAUUCUAGCAUCUCUAGGAAUAGAUAAACAGCAGCUCAACCUUCCCAUAUCGUAUCCGUUAACGACUUAGACUUUAGAUCAAGUAUUCUCCCCACAAGUUCAGGUUUAGAGCAAAUCUUAAUUCAUAACAGUCAAGCCUAAACUUGAGAGAGAUUUCAAUUCUGAGAACUAGUCAUGGCAGGGCAACUAUUCAUCAUUUCCAUGUGAGAGCUUAUCAUGAGGGUUCAUAGCAAACUUUAUUUAUUUAUUUAUUUAGCAAACUCAGCAGAGAUAUAUAUAUAAUCACAAAAUCUUUAUUUGGGUUUUUAUGAUUAUGCAUCUUUUUAUUAUUUGAGUAAAAUAUAAACAUGAGUAGAAUACUUAGCUGGAUAAAUGGGGGUGCUCUCCCCCAGCUGGAUUUUGACGUAAUUUCUUCUGAUGUAGCUAGCAGGUGGCGGAGGUGUAUUUGAAUGUCGGCAACACCCUGACAGCGAUUAGGAUUUCCUCCGUCUGCUAGUCUUCUUUGAUCCUUUAAUUCUAUGGAGCUCAAUUAGACAACAAAGCUUUGUGGAACUGGUUAAGUGUUAGCAUAAAUAUCUAGCCUUUAUCAUGUUGAGCCUCCUCGAUAAAUGUUACUCUCUUUAGUAGGAUCACAAUCUUAUUUUUAUAUUUUCAUUUUUAUAGGACAGGAAUAUAUUUAUUUUAUUUUUACGCCACCAUAGUGAAUGUACUUAUGGGUUUUAUGCCAUGACCAUACUCACAUGGGGCUUACUGUUUUUUAACAUUUUUAUUUUCUUUUGAAGAUGAUAUGAACCUGAUUAACUAAGCAAACUAUUUUAAAUAAUUGAAAGGAAAAGAGAUAACUACCAAGUUUACCUCUUGGCAAGGCGUUCGGUGUUUUUAAGUCCUCCGAAUGGGACUCUCCGUUUUCUCAGUCGUAUGGCGUAGUCGGUGGUUCCGGUGGAGCCUGCUCUUCAUGUAUAACUAUCUUUUUUCUCCACACCUGACUCGAUGCUACGGUCUCCCCAGGACAGUUCUGUUCAAGUUAUAUGUCUUCAGACCUUACAACUUCUCCAUCAUAGUCUACCCAUCCGUCCUUGAUGAUUUUGCCUUCUCUGGUUGCGGUUGCGCCGUCUCCUUCUUGUCCCGACCUGCUUAGAGUCUUCAACUAUAUAGUUAGGGUCAGUAAAAUAGUGGCGUACCUUCUCAGAGGUGAAGUGCAUGUGAACUUCUCGGGUUCCAAUGUAGAUGAUUGCUUUAACGGUGCUGAGGAACGGUCUCCUAAGGAUGAUGGAGGAUCAUACUUGUCUUCUCCCAUGUCAAUAACCUUAAAAUUAUCUGGAGCUGAAUGUAUGUUGGUUGUAGGGACAUGGUUCCAUGCAGGAGCUGAUAAGUGACUGCGGCCAUUAUGUUGACGUCAGAUCCGGUGUCGUAGAGUGUCUUCUGAAAGGAAUAUCCGUUGAUUGUGCACUCGAUGCUUGGAACACCAGGGUCGUCCUUCUUGAUCAAGAAAGGCGACUUGAGUUGACGAUCUUGACCUCCUUGAACAGCAGUGACCAUCUUAGCUGACUCGGUCCACAUUUGCUUGUUCCUGUUCCUCCUGUUGGUCCUCUUCCUUGGUUCAUGUCGGGAUUGCUCUGAGAUUUGUGUAGUCUUGUUCUUGAAGGAAAACAUCUCCUUCCUUCCCUUGAGGUAGAAACUGAUCUUGGCAGCACUAGCGUAGAUGACAGCUCCUGGUAUUUAGGAAUGGCCUCCCUUGGGUAUAAUGUUGACGCUGGAGCCAAAGUCGCAGAGUGCUUCUAGGAAAGUCCACCAUGCCUAUGGAGAUCGAGAUGACGGGGCGUCCUGGGUUGUCUCUCUUGACCGGCAGAAGGUUAGUAAUUACUUCCACAACGGGGUUACUCCAGUAGUUACGUCCUUAAGCGUCUCAGGGCAGUGAUUGCCUGAGUGUCCAUUAUCUCCAGUGUGUUUGAGCUCGUAAAUCUAGGUUCUUCACUUGGUGGAGUCUAGAAGUUGUAAAAGUCCUUCAUAGUUUGCUCGAAGUGUACCUGCUCAUAGAGACAAGGCAGAGAUCAAGUGCAUGGUCCCUGUUGGUGGAAAACACCAAC